UAUUUUUUUGUUUUUUAGGUUCAGGUCCUCGUAUCUAUUAUGAUAAUGUUAGUGAAUAUUUAUGUAAUAUGCAUGAACUGACAAAAGAAUUAUUACAUGGAAGCUAACUGUGCUAAGUUCAAAUUUUGAACCCGUGUUUACUUGAGUAUGUUGCUUUAGAUGUAUUUGUUUUAACAUAGAAAUAUAGAAUUUGUCUUGGCCCAUUCAAAUUUCAGCAAGUAAUUUUUCCAGUGGCAAAGAGUUCCACCUAGGAGCUGCAGACUAUGUUGAGUUGUUGACAGAAAAUAAGGUUACACAUACCUCUUUGCAAAAGUCGAUGUACAGUGACAUUCACGAACUUUGUUAAUAGACUUUUGCAAAACUAGGUGGACAAAAUCAGCAUCCUAUAAAUUAAUAAAUUUAUUGCUUGUCUAACUAUUUAAGCAGGAAAAAAAUUAUAACUGCAGGCACUGCCUAAGAUGGGAAUUUCCGUAUGUGGCACUCAAUUCAGUGACAUUCAGGAUUUGUGAUUUUUAUGGGUCCAUUUGGCACAGCUGCAGCUUCUAGAAUUCUUGAGCUCAGUGUUCCUAGUUUUCAUGGAGCUGGAGCUGGGGCUUGGGCUACAUUCACACUGUUUAUGUAAAUCCUUUUGAUUUGAAGUUAGACCAAAAGUAGAUGUUUUAGUUUAUAAACUCUAAACGACACUGUUAUGGAAAUCCUUUUGAUUUGAAGUUAGACUAAAAAUAGAUAUUUAAAACGCUUUAUUUAGUUUUAAACUCUAAAACUGUCUUGGAGCUGAGUUGAAGCUGCACCAACCGCAGCCUUUGUCUCAAUGACAUGUGGAUUGAGUGACAUAUCCUGAAUUAUUCCCUUAGGUUGUGCUAGUUUGUCUGAUACCUUGAAUUGAUCUGUAGAGCUGGGAGAAGACAAUGGAUUGCCACAGUCCAGGUCAAGGUUUAAUGCCUGCCAGCUUUAAAGUGCGGACAAUUCCACUUGAUGGUGAUGAGGAUGUGACUGAGGAGGUCUUGGAUCCUGAUUUUGGGGAGGCUGCAAUAGGACGUGUGGCACCUGUGGAUUCAGGUACUGCUGCUGCUCAUGAAAUUAGUUUUUUUUUUGUUUUUGGUUACUCAGCAUUCCCUAAUGUUUAAUUGGGUACUUGAUCAUAAUGGGCAUCAGGUCUAUGGUGGAUCAUAUUGCUUAGGGCAUAUGGAAAAUGUUCAGGGGAUCUGUCAGUACAGGAGAGAAUUGAUGUCCAGACUGGAAUGAAAAUGAUUCUGAAGCUUUGUUUGGCUGAUGGUUUCGACAUGUUCCCUACGUUACUCGUAACUGAUGGUUCAUGCAUGAUUGAUCGUCGAAUGGGAAUUCAUGGACAUCCACUUGAAAUUCAGGUAUUCUCUUUACUAUGUCUAGUUUUCAAUAAAACAUGGAUACUAUUGGGAUUUCUAAGAGGGGGACUGAAUGACUGAUUUCUUGUUGGAAAAUGGACUGAAGUAAUGAGCUUUCAGGAUUGAUAGACAUGGAUAGGUAGGCUGACUAUCCCUACAUUAUCCAGAAAAGGAUGAUUAUGAGUAGUGCUGGGGAUUGUAAAACCAUAAAAAAAAUUUAAUGCAGAGAAGAAACUAGGAUCCCACAGAUAAAAUUGGUGAUCUGGAUAGUGGUGGCAUAGUAGUUGCUAUAGUGUUUGCAAUUGAGAACUAUAUUUUUUUUUCUCGAAUAUGCAGGAGAGCUGUGUAUCAUUAUAUUAAGGUGAAGGGGUUUGGAAACCCAAACACCACCACACACACACUACACUUACAUGCACUACUUGCCUUAUAAACAACUAAAAAACUUGACCUCGACCCAAACCGAGAAAUUUAAUUGACUGAACAUGGCUAAUCUUCAUUAACUUAAGCAAAUACAAGUCAAGCCUCAAUAGGGUUUUGUAUGCAUGAACAAGUUUACAAGGGCAGUAACCAUGAAAAUCUCAAUUCAAGCUCUGCUGACACCUUGAUUGAAAAAAACAGGACAAAAUAGCGCAUACCACUUUUUUUGUGUGAUAAACACUAGCUCACACAUUGUUUUCUGUGUAGGCACUCUUCUAUUCAGCUCUCUUGUGUGCACGUGAGAUGUUGACUCCAGAAGAUGGAUCGGCUGACUUAAUCCGUGCCCUCAAUAACAGACUUAUUGCACUGUCCUUUCAUAUCAGGGAGUACUAUUGGGUUGACAUGCAAAAAUUGAAUGAGAUAUAUCGGUAUAAAACAGAAGAAUAUUCUUACGAUGCUGUCAACAAGUUUAACAUAUACCCAGAUCAGAUUCCUCCAUGGCUUGUUGAAUGGAUACCUCCUAAAGGGGGCUACUUUAUCGGAAACCUCCAGCCAGCUCAUAUGGACUUCCGGUUCUUUUCACUGGGAAAUUUAUGGUCAAUAGUUAGCAGCUUGGCAACGACUCAACAAUCCCAUGCUAUUUUAGAUCUUAUUGAAUCUAAGUGGUCUGAUUUAGUGGCAGAGAUGCCACUAAAGAUAUGUUAUCCGGCUCUUGAGAACCAGGAAUGGAAAAUCAUCACUGGCAGUGACCCUAAAAACACGUGAGUCUUAGAAUAAUAUUUUCAAUUUCUUGCUUUCUACCUGGAUCAUAUUGCAGUUCAUUUGCAUUUUCUAAACAAUUUCUGUUGAAACAGGCCUUGGUCGUACCACAAUGGAGGGUCCUGGCCAACAUUAUUGUGGCAGGUUUGCAUUUUCUAAACAUUCUUGAAGACUAUGUGUUCUUUUAGUACUGAUUCAUAGCCUCUUAAUGUUGAAUCGGGUUUUAUUGUCCGUGCGCAUAGCAUGGUGGCAUUUUCUUUAUCUUGAUAAAUCGUAGCAGUUUGUAGGGACAAUGAGUCCUUAACUGGGGUUUAUUGGUGAUCUAUUCGUUUCUUUUCUGCUCUGCACCUCCAUCAUGUAAUCUUACUAGAUUGUUUUUGUUGGGCAAUGGCUAUCCUUAUGUGCAGCUCACAGUGGCAUGUAUCAAGAUGAACAGACCUGAGCUUGCUGCGAAAGCAAUAGAAGUAGCUGAGAGGCGUAUUGCUACGGACAAAUGGCCUGAAUAUUAUGACACCAAGCGGGCACGAUUCAUCGGGAAACAGUCCCGGCUGUACCAAACAUGGUCUAUUGCUGGGUUCCUAGUAGCAAAGCUACUAAUCGAGAAGCCUGAUGCUGCUAGGAUUCUGUGGAACGACGAGGAUGCAGAAAUACUCAAUGCUUUGAGCACGAACAGAAAACGGGGCAAGAAAGUGUUGAAGAAAACAUACAUUGUCUGAAUUCUCAAAGCAAGUUCCAUCAAAUGACCUAAGUUAGCAUAGUAAGUUAUAGGAAGCGGCUUUCCUGUAUAUAAACUUAAACAAGGUUGUGUUUUUGAUGGAGGAGGGUGCCUGCUGUUGGAUGCUGUUAUUGUGGAUGCAUCUGGCUUUGCAAGAAAGCACUUGCUUGAGCAUUCCUCAAUUGUAUAUCUUCCAACAUUUUUGGUAUACUAGGCCUGCGUCAUGUAGUUACUUUACUCUUCGUUUGACCAGAGUUCAAAAGUUUGCAUUUACCCUGAUAGCAAUAUAGCUUUGGUUGCUCGAAUUACUCCAUUCUUGUAAUUGUCCGGAUAUCACUGGCAUAUAUGUAAUGCAUGAAUUGUCACCAAAUUGCACAUAGCCCUGUUACAUAGGGUUGAGGGUUCAUUUCCAUCUUGGUUUGUUUGCCCCUUCAGCUGACGCAAUACCUGUCUGAAAAGCAGUAAAACAAACUUCUUUAUGCAAACUCAUCAUUUGAGGAUGAUAAACAUGAGUUCUUGUUUAUACUGAUCCCUAACAUCCUCGCGAAGUUAAAUCCAUGAUAAACUUCCAUUUUCUGACCGAUUCCAAGCAUCCUAGCAAAGAGAAAUAUUAAGUUCCAAAAGCACACAUCAUAUAUGUGACUGAAACAAAGUUCAUAGCAACGGUUCAGCAUGCAUGUUGUUGAAUACAGACAAAAUCAUAGAAUGGCAGGCCAGGAGGUAGCGGAGUUUCUGUCACAUUUGUGCUGUGUUUAGUUUCUCGGUUUACUCAUGAUUUGGAGUGAUACACAUUAAGAAAGGUAAAAUUCACACGAAUUGAUAAAUUCAGAAAAACAAACAUAAUCCAAGCAACGUGCGGGGGAUAAAGAUUUGCACCUUCCAACAGCAAGAAGAGGAGGAAAACACCUUCCAACAACAAGAAGAGGAGGGAAAAAGGACAUACAGCUCCUGAGGAAUAUAUGUGGUUUUCCAAACAUAUUUGUAUGAUCAUUGCAACACGUGGGAAAUUACAACAUGAUAAUAUUCAUUCUAAAAUCCUGUAAUUCCAUUUACCCCGUGUCUCAGCCAGCGAAUGGUUCGUGUAAGCUUCCCAAAAAUAACAUCAAUUUCAGUUAAUUUUUAUAGAAAAGGUAGUAAAUAGCGCUCUAUAUAUAGCGAGAAGUCAUGGCAAAGCAAAUGAAGUUCACCUCCCAAUUGCCAAAUAAAGGCACAUUUCUUGCCUCCUCUUUCACUGUCCAAGGAGGAGGAAGAGGAGGAGAAGGAAGCCGUGCCAAAUCUAUCUGGUUUGAUCCAUAGCCUGGUUAAUGAUAUGUCCAUGCUGUUUUGGUUCUUGGAUUUGUGAUGAUUUCUUGGUCUCUCUUUUUUCUAGAGUUCUUUCUCGUCUUUUCAACGAUUCCGAGCUGCAUGUACUAGCCAAUGCCCAAUUGACAAAAAUGCUAAGCAAGCCAUAGGGAAAGAAUUUCAUGUGAAUUUUACAUGAUGCAAAUUAACUUUCUCUGAAUUUGCAGGAACUAGGGACCUGUCCCUUUCUUUGAAGCGGGGCAGCCUCUAGCCAGCCUUACAUUGCGGACGGCAAAGAUGCCACGCGGCGCCAAGCCCGCGGCUUCGUCGAAGCCGAACCCCUUCGACUCCGACUCGGACUCCGAGUCCCAGCCCGCGAGGAAGCCGUCGGGGGCGUCGUCGUACCAGGCCCCCGCCGACGCCAAGAAGCGGUACAAGGACGGGUUCCGCGACACCGGCGGGCUGGAGAGCCAGUCGGUGCAGGAGCUCGAGCACUACGCCGCGUACAAGGCCGAGGAGACCACCGACGCGCUCGCCGGGUGCCUCCGCAUCGCCGAGGACAUCAAGAAGGACGCCUCCGACACGCUCAUCACCCUGCACAAGCAGGGGGAGCAGAUCAGCCGCACGCACGAGAAGGCCGUCGAGAUCGACCAGGACCUCACCAAGGUGCUUUAUUUGGAAUGUGGCUUGCUUGCAAUGGAAUCUCUUGUGUUCGAUCUGCUCAUGCUGUCUCUGAUUUUUGUUUUUGUUUCGCUCAAUAGAGCGAGUCUCUUCUCGGGAGCCUUGGAGGGUUCUUCUCCAAGCCAUGGAAGCCCAAGAAAACGAGGCAGAUCAAGGGACCCGCCAUGGUGUCUCGAGGUACUUUUUAUUAUGAUCCUGCACUGACAGUGCCCAACAAAAUCAUGCAUCCGUAAGUGUGUGGGUUCUUGUUGAUUCUCACUGCUCAUGGCAACUUGGAAAUGGAAUAAUGGAUCAGAUGACUCCUUCAAGAAGAAGGCGAGCCGCAUGGAGCAGAGGGACAAGCUGGGGCUGAGCCCCCGAGGGAAGAAUGCCAAUCGCCACUACGGCGAGGCCAACAGCGCCAUGGACAAAGUUCAGGUUCGUUAGUGCUCUGCACGCAAAUGCGGUGGCAAUGCCGAUAGAAAAAGAAAUUGAUUCUGAUCGGCAGCCAUGUUUAAUUUGUGAGUCCGGCAGAUCGAGAAGCAGAAGCAGGACGACGCCCUCGAUGACCUCAGCGGCGUGCUAGGCCAGCUCAAGGGCAUGGCCGUCGACAUGGGCUCCGAGCUAGACAGGUGAGCUCGUCGCCUGCUUGAGUUAUCGAACGAUAGCAAGAUCUGCAGGAUUGUGUUAUCGUCUCACCAAUCGGGAAUCUUGGAUGGCAACAAUGCUAUUACGAGUACUGUCGAACUGUCUCAUCGUGCUGGCUAACAUUUUUCAGGCAAAACGAAGCGCUGGAUCAUCUGCAGGAUGACGUGGACGAGCUCAACUCCAGGGUGAAGGGAGCCAACCAACGUGCGCGCAAGCUGGCCGCCAAGUAGGCCGCCUCAAACAGCGUGGCAGGGGAGCUUUGCAUUUCUUGGACUAGAUUUGCAGCACGACAAUAGAAAAAAAUACCCAACUGGAUACAGAUUGUGGCUUGAUUAACAGGGUUUUGUCUGCUUGUAACGUGUAUUGCUCUCCAUUAUAUCGAGAGCAGACUUUUUGUUCAACAAAAAGAAGUUUUUUCUUGCUGAUCAACGGUGUAUGUUUGUCUGUCAAAGAGAAACUAAACAUUUUUUGCGGGUAAAAGAGAAACUAAACAUUGUCGGAAGUAUAAUGAGAAAAUGAGCCGAUCACCUCUUCUCUAGGUGUUCCUUCUCAAUGCAAGUAUGGCACAGCGUCAGUGUAAUGCUCAAUCUGCACAACGCCGUCCCGGCGUGCAAGGUGCAACUUCUAGACUGGUGGCUCGACAAGAGGAAGAGCAUACGCGCGGCCAAGAGAAAGGGUUUAGACUCGGCGUUCAUGUUGGUUUUAUGGAAGCUGUGGAAGGAACCCAAUGAUUGGGUUUUCGUCAGAUCAUCCCCGAAGAACGCCGUGCAAUUGCCAGCUGAAAUUACUUAAGAAGGGCAGCUCUGGUGCGCCUCCGGAGCCAAACAUUUAGCGGCAGUAGGCUGGCCGGCACCGACAGGAGCUCCGGAUCACCAACUCUGAUUUUUGUCAUCGGUGCUCCUUUCUUUUGUUGCAAACCUAAACGAUGAACAAAAAUCGUGUGCGUGCGUCCGGGUAGACCCGUGUUGUAAACUAUUUUCUUCUUAAUACAAAGAUAUGCAGCUCUCCUGCGUAUUCACGAAAAAAAUAAUAAGAAAAUGACUACUACAUUCGGUCAUAGAUAAGUAAAUAUCAACACAAUCCUACACUGGUGGAAAACGCGGCAUUAGUCCCGGUUGGAUUGGAUAGGACAUAGAUCCUGAAAAUUCAACCAGGACUACAUUUUCGAGAUAAAAGGGGGUUCACCCGGGACUAAAGAUCUCCUUUAGUCCCGGUUGGUUAAAGGGGCCAGUGCUGCGCCUGGUGGUUUUACCAACCGGGACUAAAGGGGUUACGUACAUGCACCUGCAUGCCCCAUGCACUUACCCCUUUAGUACUUAAGACUUUUUUUUUUCAAACUCUUUUCCAUAUUAAUAUUGUAUGCAAGUCGUAUAUAUAUUUCAUGAUGGUAAUAUAUAUAUAUAUAAUUCUUAGUAUUUAUACAAUUACUAUAUAUAUAUAAUAAUUUGUCCUCUUCAUUCCUAGGAUACUCCUGCCGUGGUGUUGCUCGGUGCGGCUAUUGAACGUCCGUCAUAAUAAAAUUCUCCUACAGGAUUUAUCACCUCGUCAAUCAGGAAUCCUAUGAGACCUUCACAUAUUGCCAAAAUUAUCUCCUUCUCCAAUAGUUUUUGUUGAAUAUCAAACAUCUGUAAUUUGAAAAUAUGUGAAUGUUACACGAACAAUUAAAUAUAAGAAGCUAGAAAACAAUUAAUUAUUAAUAAUUUUAUUUUACGUACAUUUAUAUCAUGCAACAACAGCACCUUGUGAUGCACAAAAUUGUUCAUGUACUCACAGAUGUAGUAUCCACAUAGAUUAUUGCCUUGUUUCUAUCUCAAGCACUUCGGUAGGAAAAAAAUAAGUUAUGAAAUAUUCGUGUUAUAGAAUAUACAAAAUGUGCAAACUUUAUACGUACUGAGAACUUUAUAUUGAAUGUAAGUUUUUCUUUGAAUGGACCACAGUGAGUCUUAAGGAAUCAUUUCCAUAUGCUGCAGAUUAAAAUAAUGAAUGAUACAGUGUUAGGUGAAAAUUUAGGAAACAAAUUUUUACAUAGAGAUAAAGGUCCAGAAUUAUUACGAGUUUAGCAUGUCUUGAAUAUCUUGGUACUCCACUAGUGGUUUCCUCAAUGAAUCGAACACAACAACGUGGCUUUUAUCAAUCAUAAUUAUUAUAAGAAUCCAGUGGGAACUGUGUACAUAAAUGUUCAUAUUAGAGCUAACUAAUCUUAAUUAGGUAAGAAAAAGGAAAAUAAAAAUAGACGGUACCCACACUUACUUAAAGUUGUAUGCUUAUAAUUUGUUUGUCCAAGAAAUUGUAUACUACCUUCAAAGUUUUCUUUGCCUGAUCCCAUAUCUAAGCUUGGUUAACGAGCGAUGGAUCCAUGAAGCCAAUAUUGAAGUACAAUUCUCUGCGACACCUCUGAAUUAGCAUCCCACAUAAAAUGGAAGACGAAGUUAGUAGGGCGACGCGCACACAAAAAAUAAUGAUAUGAGCCAAAAUUUACAUAUUGAUAAAUAGACACUUAUAGAACCUAGGCGCUGAUGAGAGAGACGUCAAGGGCAUCCUGAUGGUACACUUCAUAUAUAUAUCCUUGAAUUCCAUCCACAUGAGUUUCUCAUCUUCAUCGAAAAAAUUAAUCGGUUUAACCUAAAGAGCGAACAUGAGCCUCUCGUUGGCAGACUGCUCCAUGUACUAUUCGUACAUCUUCGUGGAGAGCUUCUGUACCAAUUCAGGCCUUACUAGAGGCUUGCCUAUCUCAAAGGGUCAUUUAGGUACAAUUGGCUUUGGAGCUAGCACUUCAACUUGCCCUAGAACUUUAGCAAGAGAUAUACCUGUAUCUUGCAUAAAUCUAAUGACUCUGAUUUGUUGUUCUAAAGGCAUUGCUUGUAUAGUUUGAGCAUCUUUAUCUGGUAGAUCCCCGAGCUGGGGGAUAGUACAACUCGAAGAUGACGCUCCUCGCCAUUUUUCUUCUCAUUAGACUUAACUAAGGAACGCUUGUAGUUCGAUAGUAUAGUCCUCUUUGCUUCUUUUGACAUGCUAAUACAAAAUUUUAAUUUUGCUGGAUCUACUGGCUUUGGCUCCAUCUCCUUUACUUUUCUUUGUUCAGCGCAUUUUUUUAAAGAACUCCUUCACCAUUGCUUAGGAUAGCUCCCACAAUUCCUCAGUAGUCAUUCCAGUAGCUUCUGAAUGGGUUCAGACUUCUUUGUUUUCUUUGACUGCCUUGGCUUGGAAGGCAGUGGUCGCAGCUUCUUUAGAGGUUCUGCAGGUUCCUUGCUCGCUGCGGGUCUUAGUCCCAGCGACGGUGAUUAGGAAGGGGUGUUGUGGUCGUCGUCGCUCAUACCACCAGGAUUUGAUGGAGAUGAAGAUGGUAAUCGAGCAGGAUGCGACGGUCCCGGUGGUGACGACAGUCCUAGAGGUGGAUGUGCUGGAGAUGAUGGUCUUGAGUUUUGAGGAGAUGGUUGCUGCGAGGGAUCUACAGGGAGCAAUGAUGCCUCCUUAUCAAGAAUGAUGAUGUACCAUUUGCGCCAUAGAAUGAUCCUGUGAAGUGCAUCUUCUAGUGUCCUUUCUCCAUCACCUCCCGGAAGGUCGAGCUCUAGGCCUUCAUAUUGACUAUCAACAAUCUGCUCUAGGCCAACGCUGGAGGCGCCAGGUGGAAUCUUCAUGCCAUGGCUUGUCUGCCCUGGCAGGAUUGGUAAAGCACUCCCGUACGCCACUUGUACAUAUAGGAGAAAUAAAGAAGUUAUUAAACUCCCGAGGCGUGGAUCAAUUGAGAAGAUUGCAUAAAUUAUACAUAUGUAUACCUUAAUAGUGAUGUUGCCAAACGGUCUAUGCAGCUCACAUGAGGUGCGCUGUGUGAUGUCACCCACAAGGUAUCGUUGGUUGUCUACGGGUAAUCUUGGCAUGUGUUCAUCGGGGACCACUGUGGAAGCAUAGCUGCUUCGGCAUUGAGAAGGGCUGACGACGUUGGGAUCCGGUAGUGCUCCAGAUUGGACCAUCUUAGUAACUGCCAGGACCACUCGAUAAUUAAUUUCUUCUUGCAUUCUUACUUUUUGUGAAUGCACUUUGGCAUCUAACAUGCGCCGCCAGCUCUCCUCUUGCUGUUCCUUUCUUCGCUUGCAGCUUCUGUACGAGUCGAUGUCCCUACGGAAAGCGAACUUCCACGAAACGACCCCGUAGGCUACGUCCUGGGUGUUCAGGAUUCCCGAGCGCCAAUGUGAGCUCAUCGUUCUUUCUAUCCACUUUCAACUUCCCAGCUUUAGGAUCUUCAAUAUUUUUGAUAAGCCUUUCGGCCUUUUGAUAUAUUGUUUCAUUGAAUAUAAGUGUCCCAUCCUCUUGGCUCAGGUUUCCUCUAUGAGCAUAAUGCCAAUUUUUUGAUCAAUCGGGCAGUCAAUAGUUGCUGGUACGAUACCUCGAUUGAAUAGGUCUUGUUCCAUCUUGCACCAUUUGGGAAUUGCACUCAUGUAACCACCUCAUCCUAGACGAUGAUGGUACUCCUUCUUGCUAGCAUUGGUAACGUUGACGCGAACCUUAUUCGCACUACCUUCGCUCAUCUUGUAUUCAACAAAUGAGUUCCUGUGGUCCCUUAACUUUAGCCACUCAUUGAAAUCUGGACUUCGGCCAUUCUUGAUAAAGUUGGCAUCCGGAUUCUUUUUGAAGGUCUGGAAUUGGGUUGCCAUCUUCUUCAGCGUCUACUCUUUCACAUCUUUUUCUUCGACACCUUCAGGAAGUGUGAAGUGUUUCUUGAAAUCUGCCCACAACAUAUUCUUUUGUGUUUGCGGGAGCACGUAUGGAUCAUCUUGUUUACCCUUCCAUUCUCUAAUACCGAUGGGCACGUUGUCCCUUAUAAUAGCCGUGAUCUGACUCACCAACUUUCUAGCCAUAUGUUCGGGAGCAAUUGGCUUGCCCUCUUCUGUCACUUCCGCGAUGUGAAACCUUCCCUCCAUUAUCUUUGUACAACCUUGGAGCUUAUUUCACUUCGUCGAUCCAGAGGGCUAAUAGUUCAAGAUUUGUUAUUUAGUACAUAGUAAUAAUGAAUAUGAAAUUAUAGAUAGGGUAAAAUAAUGAAAAUGAUAUAUACCUCGCCGGAACCUUCCGUCAUGGCAAGGUUUUGUUCCGCAUUGUCAUCAACGCAGUGCUCGGGCUCAUCAUUGCCAUCACCGGACAUGUUGAGGAACAUGUCCGCCUGGCUACCCUCAUCCUCGGUGUACGUUAUUGGAACGUUGGAGCCACUACCACCAUCAAUAAUCUGCUCCAUUAAAUAUCUUGCAUCCUCUUCAUCUGUUAUCUCAGCUAAUUAAACACACAUGAAAUUAUAGAUACAUUAAAUUAAAAAUUGUAUCAAGUAGUACAAUUAAUGUAUAAACAUGAAAUCAUAGAACAACCAUGAAAUAAAAGAAUUUGAUUGAAAUAUACACAUGAAACCAUACAUUAAAUUAUAAAUAUAUAUACAUGGAAUCAUAUAUACAAUAAAACUUGUACAAUUUAUUACAUGAAACUUACAUGAAAUUAAACAUUAAAAAAAUCACGCAAUUAUAUACAACACCUCUACUUGUAUAUUGUCAUAAAAAAUAUCAUUUAAUUAUAUAUACAACACCUCUACCAAGUUUCUACUAAAUUAUACUAAUUUUCUAAGCAUUUCUACAAAUUUGUACUAAUUUCUACUAAUUUUCUAAUCAUUUAUACUAAAUCAUACUAAUGUAUACUAAACUAUACUAAUGUAUAAUAAAACAAUAAAAAAGGGGCCCUUGCGUCAGCAAGGGCCCCGGCAGUUCGAGCGCGCGGGGGGGGGGGGGGGGGGGGGGGGGGGCGUACCAGUCAGUGGGUGAUCGAUGGUGGGGCGACGACGGGGCGAUGACGGCAGGGCAAUAGCGGGGUGGAUGACGGCAGGCCGGGGUGGGAGACGCCGCGGGUGGACGACGGCGGUCGGGACGGGCGUGACGGCAGGGUGACUAUGGGGCGACGGGGCAGCGGACGGUGAGUCCCGUGCCCGAUCGACCAAGUGUGGGAGAUGAGAGGCACAGGGAAGAAGGACGUGUCUUUAAUCCCCCUAGUCCCAGGUUGACUUUGUAACCGAGACUAAAGUGUUUUUAGUCCCAGUUGCAAUUUGCACCUGGGACUAAGGGGUUCUUUUCGAGCGGGAGCUGAAAAAUUGCACCCUUUAGUGGGAUUUUUUAUUUCAUUGCAAUUACAAUUUAUAUAUGUUUUCCACUAAUUUUGUUAAAGAAAAAAUAAAAACUUUACAUAUUUUGAACAUGCAAAAAUAUAUUAAAUUAGCAAGUAUAUUUAAAAUAAGUUUGAAUCAGUCAUUAAUUCUAUAGUAGUUGUUUAAGUUUCUAAAAUAAUUAUUUAAUGCAUCACUAUCAUCAACAAACUAUUCAAUUAAAUAAUUUCAACGCGCAAAAAAUGCAAUUGAUGUAUGUGGUUAGGUUAACAUUGUUUAUAUUGAUCGAAUAAAUCUUCACCUUGGAGCAUUACAAUAUAAUUCAAAGGUUCUGAUGGCCAUAGAGCAUUACAUAAAGGUGAACCAUAUUUAGUGCAUUACAAUGUAACGUUAAAAAUUUUCUUCUUGAUGAAAGUUCCUUGGUCAUGAUCGCGGCGUAAGUACGGAGCCUCUUCUUUCGCUAGCAUGAUGCUUGGGUCAACUUUGACAACGAAUGGAGGCAUGCCAUCAAACUGAUCAUAAUCAUCUGACUGGUCUAUUUUGUCCUCGACUCCCAUGACUUUUUUUACCUGGAAGAACUAUGUGGCACUUUGGCUCACAUGUUUUUUCUUUAUCUUCUGAAUUUUUCUUGGAUUUGCUAGACAUGUCAUUCACAUAGAAAACCUGGUGCACAUCAUUGGCCAGGACAAAUGGUUCAUCAUUGUAUCCGAUCUUGGUCAGGUCCGCUAUUGUCAUUCCAUACUAAUCUUUCAUUACGCCACCUCCAGUUAGCUUCACCCAUUGGCAACAAAACAAAGGGAUCUUUAGCGGUCCGUAUUCGAGUUCCAAUAUCUCCUCUAUGAAACCAUAAUAUGAGUCCUUGCUCCCAUUGCUGUCUAUGGUAUCUAUGCGGACACCACUAUUCUGGUUGGUGCUUUUCUGGUCUUGGGCUCUUGUGUAAAAUGUAUAACCAUUUAUCUCGUAACCUUGGAAUUUCACGAUUAUGCUAGAAAGUCCCCUGGCUAACCAAGCGAGUAGUUCGUGAAUCGCGGAGUUACCCAUAAGGUGUUGACGCAACCAAGAGGGAAAAGCAUCCACGUGAUGAUAUAUAAUCCAGGUAUCGGAUUUUGUCGGGUAUUAGGAAAAUAGAAUCUGCUUGUGUUUCUCGAUUUACGGAGCCACAAAGGAUGAUUAUUGUAGAAUAGUGAAGUGUGCUUUAUGGCACAAAUUAGUAUCAUUGCUUAAACUUGAUUUCCUACCAAGGGUGCCCGUUCCCCGCAGCCUCCCCUCGUGACGUGAUGUUGGAACCCCAAUUGAAUUAAUUGAGUCAAUAAAAUCAACACAAAACUCAAUGAACUACUCUGUUCCAUAUCCCUUGAUGAUGCUUCCUUCUGGACAGGCACGAUUAAGAACAUAGGUUUUUAGGACUAACAUGAACCUCUCGAAAGGCCACAUAUUGUGCAGGAAUACUGGACCGAGAAUAGUAAUCUCUUUGACUAGGUGAACCAGGAGGUGCAUCACAAUAUUGAAGAAGGAUGGUGGAAAUACCAACUCAAAGCUGACAAGUCACUGUACCACAUCGUUCUGUAGCCUUACUAGCUUGGUUGGAUCGAUUGCCCUCUUCGAAAUUGCAUUGAGAAACGCGCAUAGCUUUAUGAGCGCCAAUCGUACAUUCUUUGGUAGAAUACCCCUCCGUGCAACUGGAAGCAACUGGGUCAUCAACAUGUGGUAGUCAUGGGCCUUGAGAUUUGUGAACUUUUUUCUUUCAUAUUUAUUAUUCCCUUUAUAUUCGAGGAGUACCCAGAUGGAACCUUGAUACUAUUCAUGCAUUCAAACAUGCUAUCCUUCUCUUCCUUGCUGAGAGUGUAACUGGCAUGAUGUAAGUAGUGCUGCCCGUUAUCUCUCUUUUCCGGAUUUAGGUCAUCUCGUUGCUUCAUACGUUUCAUAUCCUGUCAUGCUUCCAAUGUAUCUUUUGAGUUUCCAUAACAACCCAUGAAGCCUAGCACGUUCACACAAAGAUUCUUCGUCAGGUGCAUCACGUCUAUUGCAUUGCGGACCUCUAGGAUUUCCCAAUAAGGUAACUCCAAAAAUAUAGACUUCUUCUUCCACAUGGGUGCACAUCCGUUAUCGUUGUUCGGAACAGGUUCGCUAUCAUGACCCUUUCCAAAGACUACCCUUACAUCCUUUAUCAUCUCAAAUACACGCUUUCCAUUAUGGUGUCUAGGUUUUUUACGAUGAUCUGGCGCCCCUUUGAAAUGCAUCUCUUUCUUUCUUAACGGGUGGUUAGCAGGAAGAAAUCAACAAUGGCCCAUAUACACGACCUUCCUACAGUGUUUCAAAUACAUGUUGUCUGUGUUGUCUAAACAGUGGGUGCAACCCCGAUAUCCCUUGUUUGUCUGUCCUGAAAGGUUAUUCAGUGCAGGCCAAUCAUUGUGGUUACAAACAAUAAUGCUCGUAGGUCAAAGCUCUCUUGUUUGUCCUUAUCCCGCACACAUACACCUUCUUCCUUCCAGAGCAGUAAAAGUUCAUCAACCAACAGUCUUAGGUACACGUCAAUAUCGUUGCCGAGUUGUUUUGGGGCUUGGAUAAGCACCGGCAUCAUAAUGAACUUCUGCUUCAUUCACAGCCAAGGAGGAAGGUUGAACAUAUAUAGGGUCACAGGCUAAGUACUAUGACCACUACUCAACUCACUGAAUGGAUUGAAUCCAUCAGUACUUAAACCAAACCUUAUGUUCCUUGCAUCACUUUCAAAGUCCGGGAAUGCUCUAUCAAUUAAUCUCCACAGGGCCCCAUCCGCAAGGUGUCUCAGCAUCUCAUCUUGCUUACAUUCUUCUUUGUGCCAUCGCAUCAACUUAGCAUUCGCCUUAUUUCUGAACAAAUGCUUCAAAUAUGGUAUAUAGGGACAUAUCACAUCACCUUCGUAGGAACUCUCUUCUUGGAAGGCUUCCCUCGAUAUCACCAGGAUCAUCUCACCUGAUCUUAUACCGCAGCACUCCGCACACAGGACAAGCAUCCAAUUUCUCGUAUUCAUCACCACGAUAGAUGAUACAGUCAUUAGGGCAUGCGUGUAUCUUCAGAACCUACAAUCCCAGAGGGCAAACAAUCUAUUUAGUUUCAUAUGUUAUGAACGGCAAUUCAUUAUUCUUGGGAAGAAUGUUCUUUACAAUUUUCAAUAUCCCCUGAAAUGCCUUAUCGGACACACCAUUUUUUUUACCUUCCAUUGCAGCAGUUCUAGUGUGGUACAACAAUUUUUUGUGAUCAUUAAUCAUGCGCUGAAAUUUUUCUAAUUCUUUCUCAGUUUUGCAAUAUCUGUAUGCAUCCCGUAGCACUUGACCAAGAUCAUCAAUAGGGCUGUCUUCUGCAAACUCAUCUUCAUCAGCCUCGCCCAUUGUAGUAUCUGCAAUUUAUGCCCUGCUUGCAAUCAGGGUACAACAUUUUUUUUGAUCAUUAAUCAUGCGCUGAAAUUUUUCUGAUUCUUUCUCAGUUUUGCAAUAUCUGUAUGCAUCCCGUAGCACCUGACCAAGAUCAUCAAUAGGGCCGUUUUCUGCAAACUCAUCUUCAUCAGCCUCGCCCAUUGUAGUAUCUGCAAAAGCUUAGCCUGCAGCCUAGUCCAAAAUGUUGUUAUCAUCCUCCUCUUCUUCGCCGUCUUCCAUUACAACCCCUCUUUCACCAUGCUUGGUCCAAACCAAAUAGUUAGGCAUGAAACCGUAUGUAAACAAGUGGUUGUGAAUAGUUCCCUGGGAAGAGUAGUCCUUCUUGUUACUGCAUUGGAAGCAUGGACAACAUAUGAAUCCGUUCUCUGGCUUGUUGGCUUUGGCCACUUCGAGAAAAUAAUGCAAGCCAUCAACAAACUCCUUGGUCCGUCUAUCCGCGUUAUACAUCCAUUGCUAGUCCAUCUGCAUCGUAUUACGUGAGAAAUGGACAUAGGUCUUCGUAUUAGAUAAAGAAUUUGAUCAAUAUUAGGUAGUGGAAAAAUAGAGUUAAUAUGAUUAUAAUGUUUAGUCCUUGCAGAAAACAUUAGAUAAAUAAAUUAUUACGUGAGAAAUGGACAUAGGUCUUCGUAUUAGAUAAAGAACUUGAUCAAUAUUAAUAAUUUACACCAAUUAACCUUCAUAAAGAUAAAAAUAUUUCACAUGAAAAUUACACCAUUCACAUUCAUAACAUUCACUAAAGAUACAUAUAAAGAUUACACUCGUAGCAAGACAAUAAAGAUACAUAUACACUAAAGAUUAUAGACGCUCCAUAGUGGAGUUCACGUAGUCAAUUAUCCUAAAUUAAUGGUAAAACAAAGCAGAAUAUUCGUCCUCCAAGCCAUCUCUGCACAUAAGUCAAUCUUCUACGAAGUCUAUCAAGAGUCACCUCCACAUAUCCAGUACCAUAAAAUAAUGGUACAAUAGAAAAUCUUCAAGUUCACAUACUCGGGCUGAAUAUCAUAAAUGAAUCUUGAAAUAAUGGUCCAAACAUCUUUUGGAGUGGGUGCCACAUUCUCAUAAUAGAAGUAUGAUGGCACACACAUAAUAGCCCAUCCAAAAAAAAGAUCUGUUCACUGAGCAUGGCCCAUGGUGGCAAGCCAAUACCAACCAAAAGUCGCUAGGUCAAGAUCAGUGAACAGAUCUUUGCCUAAAGAGGAUAUUGGGCCAGCAUACUUCUAUUAUGAGAAUUAGGCUCCAAAAGAUGUUUGGAAUACUAUUUCAAGAUUAUUUUAUGAUUUAGCCUGAGUUUGUAAACUCGAAGCUCUUCUGUUCUAUCAUUAUUUUCUGGUGUUGGAGUAGAGGAGGUGACUCUCCAUAGACUUCAUAGAAGAUUGAGUUAUAUGUAGAGAAUAGUGUAAGCACAUUUAUGCCAUGUGCAGACACUGUUCUCUGGGAUUGGAGGAACGAAGGUGGUACAUCCAUUGCCAGUCCAUCUGUAUCGUAUUAUGUGGAAAAUGGAUAUAGAGCUUCAUAUUACAUUAAGAACUUGAUCAAUAUUAGAUAGGGAAAAAAUAGAGUAAGUGUGUUUAUAAUAUUUAGUUCUUGCAAUAAACAUGAGAUAAAUAAAUUAUUGGUCAAAUAAAUACAAUUAUUGUUAAAUUACAAUGACAUUAAAAAUUGUAGUAAUGACCAAAUUCUAUUUCUUACACCUAUAAUUUAUUUACCUUAAUUUUAUUGCAAUGACUAAAUAUUAAAAAUACAUUUACUCUAUUUUUUUCACACAUACCUAAUAUUGAUCAAGUUAUUUUAACUAAAACGAAUCAUAUAUAACAAGCAAGCUAUCCAUCAAAUUCUAGCUCAAAAAUAUGUAUAAAUAAAAAUUCUCUCCAUUCUCCCUCAUUGUAAAAAAAACUCAUUUUUCUCCCUCUCUAAAACAUAAAAAGAAGCAUAAUAAUAAUAAAUGAAGGGAGGAUGAAGUAGCUAACCUUCACAACACUUUGGAUGAGUGAAAUCUCCAUGGAAAUAAGGAAAAAAAAUUUGAGCAGCACCUCCCCUAAGGUUGCUUGCUCGCCAUGGAGAGGAUGAUGAAGCUCUCGAUCAGGUGGAGUGGCUCUGGCUGGGGGAGGAAGAAGAGUUUCUGGUAUUAUAGGGGAGGAGAAAAAGACCCCCCGCCCCCCUUUUGUCCUGGUUGGAAUUCCAAUCGGGACUAAACCUUUUGUCCCGGUUGAAAAUUCCAACCGGGAAGGGGGGGGGGGCGUCGGUGCGAUUUUUGUAGCCUUUACAACCGGGACUAAAGGGGCUUUAGUCCCGAUUGGUUUUUACAACCGGGACUAAAGCUCCCCUCCCGCGAUGGGCUUCGGUGGCACAUUUUUGACCUCGAACUAAAGGCACUUUAGUCACGGAUCCAAUGUUAACCGAGACAAAAGCACCUGGAUGGAAGGUUAGUUGUCUACUAGUGCUAAAACACAAUUUAACUAUGAACUUUUGUUGUAUAUUCAAAAAAUCUAGAAUGAAUAUAAUACUAUAUGAAACUAAAUUAGAAACAAAUGUACUUGUAUGAUUUUGGAAUAUCCAAACUCAACACAUGACUAGUAAUUUAUAGUCGAAGUUUAAUAUGCCACUUAUUUGUGAUCAAAACACCAUUUGCACCUAAAUCAAAUCUCCUGCGUUUCAUCAACUUUAAAAUUGAAACAAAGAAUGACAUGUUAAAUAAGAAGGGACAACAUUCUUUACUAAAUACAAGUAGUUUAAUUUGCACGCAUCAAAUUACAGAAGCUAAAAUAGCAAAAAAGAAAACUUUCCAAGCACUAUGUGUUUCAAAAUUACAUAGACAACUGUAGCCGGCAUAUUUGCAAGGCUACAUUCUUCACAUUUUGUGUUUUAUAUUAUUGUUCAUGGUUUAUCUUUGACUUAAUUGAACUUUUCAAGAAUGUACAAUGCUAACACAAAAAUAUCUUCUCAAUGGUAAAAAAAUACAAUUCGACGUUUGAAUAUGAUAUCCAAGAUAAUACUAGAAAUAUAAUAUCAAUAUGCAAAGCCUACCUAUAGAAUUUGGGAGACCCCAUCCAAAAUUAAAGAUGUGGUAGUAUACCUACGAUAAAUCAAAAGAUAUUAUUUUUUAUACUAUGCUUAACUCAUAGUUUCAUGUAGGUAUCUUUUAUUACAAAGGGAGCAGAGAGGUACUAAACCUACAACUUAAUGGUAUAAAUUUUGUUACUUUAGAUGUCAAUUUUUAUACUUCAUUAUAUUGAGGGGUAUAUCUUGGUACCUUUUUAAGGUAGUACAAUAUCCCAUUCCCAUUGCAUAAAAAAGUUCAUUCCAAUGAUAUCAAGACUUACAUAUUUCUCUAAACUUGAAAAUAGCCUGAGUGAUGUGAUGUGGUUGUGUUCCACUUCCACAUGUAUCGAAAGUAGAAAAAAUUCCGAGUCCCAAUGUAGCUUGUAGUAGAGCCCAAUAUUGCCAAAGCACAAAGAUCUCGAUUGUCGAGACCAAGACAAUAGUGCAAAUGUUGUGAAAAUAAAUCUUGUGUGCUUGAGUGCACAAAUAAAAAGCAAAAUAGAUUGAAUUAUGGCUGGCAUUUUGCUACAUAUGGAAAAAUUUAAAGAAACUAUCUCAUUAAGACAACAGUUAGGAUGUGCAUGGGAGCAAUAGCAAAUUACUAAAAUUGGCACGCCUUUGCCACACCAUUUUGUGGUACGGGAUAGUGUUACCAUCUUGGACAAACUUUUUAUUUGCAUGUGCUUCUAAAAAUUUAUAGCAAUUUGUAACUUUAAAAUUGAUUUUUUAAUUUGGGGUAAGAAAGUUUUUUGAAUUUACAUCUUGAGUAGUUUAAAUAUCGGGUAAAGUUGUGUGAGGAGACAUAUAUGAAGAUAAGAUAUAGUGAUAAAUCAAAAAUAGCAAAUAAAUAAGAUUCGAACGUAUCAUAUUUAAUAUUCUCAUGCAGAAUUAUAAGCAUCUAUUGCACUGUAAAAGAAAUAAGAGCAUAUGUUAGUUUAGAACUAAACUAAUAGAAAAUGAACAUUUGAAGAAGCUUCAUAUUUGAUAUCGUUACCAAUAUUUUGGUUUCCAAUCAGUUUCAUAGCUACGGCAUGUACAAGACUAUGAGCAUCCAAGAACACAACAAGAACUCUCUCCUUAAAACAAGCCGAAUUUAAGAGAAUACCAAGUCUUCACCAAUUCAAUCAGGCAACAUGAACAUUAGUUACUUAUGUCAACGAGUUGUUGCCAUAGCUAAGAAAAUUUGUAGAUGAUUAGUUAUUUAUGUCAACUGAGAACUUUUUGGUUCGGGUUUAGGAAUUGAGUAGAGAACAUGAUUGUUCCAAUGAAAAACUCUCAUUACUGAAUAUUGACGAGGCUAGCAAUCAAAGAUGGUAAAAGGGUAUGAUCAAUGCUCAGAAUUAAAGCAAACCAAGAGAGAGUGAUCCUAACUUAAUUCAAAACAUCAACACCACGGAUGGUGGUACGAUAAAAUUUUUAUAGGCAUUGGAUAGGAUAGGUAAAACUCUCAACCUGGUAGAAAACUUGAUCAAUCCUGUUUAUUUUUGCAGGGGUUUUAGAUAAGCAAUAAAAAUUUAAUUCACCUCCAAUUCAAGCCUUACUCAUAGAGCAUAAUCAAAACCAAAGCACAAGAUCAUCAUAAAGCAUGGGUAUUGCAUAAACAAAUCGAUUACCAAACUCCACAACAAAGAUUUGAAAUUCAAGACAAGGCUCAUGAUCCAAUGUUGUAAAAGCAAAGUAAAAGAUAACCAAGCAAAGGUAGACACUAAAAACACUCACACGAUCCUUGAAUUUUAUUCAUGCUUCUUCUCACAAAGACGCUAAAGUAGCAAUCUAGGCCUAAGUCUUCCUAGAAGCUUAAGAAGACUAUUACUUUAUCUACUUUUGAUUGAAAUAAAAACACUAAUUUAGACUCUCACACGACUUGACUCGACCAAAUUAGAUCUAAAAACUCCAUACGAGCGAUGAUCCUCCCCCUCCACGCUUAAAAUCUAUGACGUCCUCAUCGUAACCACAUAAAGUACAAAGGGAAGAUACUCGUAAACGCACUAGUGAUGUUGCCAACAUUGCUUGCACAUGGGGUGGUUGCUACUUCCUUCUCCAUGGGCUUUCUUCUUCCUCAUGUUGCCGCACAUCCUGAAGAGCUUCCCAAAUGUUCCUCUGCAAGAACUUGAAGUCAUCCUCCUGGAGGUGAUCAUUCUCUUCCACCUUGUGAUCUAGCUCUUGGAUGGUUUGCACGAUGUCAUCCACGGCAUCGAAGAGGUACUGGAUGUUUUGCCUGCCAUCAGGGCAGCAAGCAUGUUGGUGUUCUUCCAGCUCCAGCUUGUCAUCUUCAAGGUCCUUCUCUUUGGCCUUGCCUUGACGGUGGCCAUCUUGCUCUUGCUCUACUUCUUGUCUUUCGCCAAUACAUGUUGUCAUCUUCGUCGUCGCCACGGCCUGCAACACCCCACGGUCCAGGGCUCCUAUUGUCCUCCCAAUCGUUAUCGCCUCCAUAGUCAGCCGGCGUGUACUCGGGCGUCUUCUCCAUGUAGCUCUUGCGCCUGAUCAUGAGGAGCAUUGCUAAACGCCUUCUGGGAGUGACGACGACCUCCUUUUUCUUCUUGGGUGCUUCAUCUUCGCUUGAGAGGAUAAACAACUUGCGAUCCGCGAGCUUUCCAGAUGGUGCCUUGCCUCCAACGUAGAUGCGAGCAUUGCGAGAAGUCCUUGGUAGAGUUUUGGGACCCAAAUCACACCUGUUAGCUUCCAUCCAAAGGGAAUCGCCGCCGGCCACUAGAGGGGGCUAGGCCGAUCGGCCUGGGGAGGUUAGGCCGAUCGGCCUUGGGAGGUUAGGCCAAUCAGCCUAGCCUCUUCCUUGGCCGCCAGCACCCCCCUCUCAUCUCCCGAGCUCCUGGUCACCUCCAUUGUGCUUUUUUUUUCUUGUUUUGGUGGUUCUGAAUUGCUUGUGUAGAUGCGAAAUUGCUCCUCCAAUUGGCCCCCCAUUAUAUACUCUUGAAUUCUUGGUCAAGGAUCCACACAUUUCCACAAAUUUCCUUGCCCCUUCCCACAAAAAUAACUUCCAUAUAUCGUCAUUACCAAAGAUGGGAAAGGGGGAACCGAAGCGGAGGCAUAAACCACCCAGGCUAAUCGGCCUGGGGGUCAUUGGGCUGAUCGACCUAGGGGGGUUUUGGCCCCUCCAGCUCCCAUUUUUUCAUGGCAGUGCAAAUGUCUAAAAAUAUUCCUAAUUAUGUCGAGUCCCACUCAAAAUUCAAAAGAAAACUAACAGAAUUAAGAUAGAGUAUGUACACGGUACCUGUUUUAGUGUCGUUAGGCUCGACAUCUUCGUUCUUCCUCCAUGAUGUAGUCACCAACAUAAUUGAUGGGCAUAACAUUAUGCUCCAAGAAUACCUUUAGUCGUUCUCCAUUCACAACAUAUUGAUCUACCUUGACGUCCAUGAUUGUUACCGCUUCGGUUGGUGACACAGAAUGAACCACGUAUGGUCCGUCCCACUUGCUCAUCAAUUUUCCUUUAUCAAAGAGUUUGAAUCUGGAGUUGAACAAUAGCACUUUGUCUCCUUUAAAUUCUUUCUUGUGAAGCCUUUUAUCAAACCAUCUCUUUAUUCUCUUCUUGUAAAUGCUUGCACUGUGGUAAGAUUUAAGCCUCAUCUCUUCCAAUUUACUUAUUUGAACCCUUCUUUUUACUCUCGUAGCAUCAAAAUCAAGAUUCAUCUCUUUUAUAGCCCAAUAAGCUUUAUGUUCAAGUUCAACGGGAAUCUGACAUGUUUUUCAAUAGACGAAUUGAUAUGGGGUCAUACCUAUAGGUGUUUUAUGAGCCAUCCUGUAUGCCCACAACGCUCCGUCUAGCUUCUUUGACCAAUCCUUCCCUCCUUUGAUUACUGUCUUCUUCAAGAUAUCCUUGAGCUACUUAUUCGAAGUUUCUACUUGGCCAUUUGUUUGAGGAUGAUAAGCUGUAGAUACUCUUUGUUCAAUCCCCAGCUUUAGUAAACAUUUGCCAAAAUCCUUUGCCAUGAAGUGCAAUCCUACAUCGCUAAUCAAAAUUCUGGGCACUUCAUACCUAGGAAAUAUUACCGUCUUGAUCAUAUGAAUUGAUUCUUCUAUUAACGCCUUACGACAUGGUAUAAAUUCAACCCAUUUAGACACGUAGUCAACCAGGACUAAGAUGUGUUCAUAUCCAUGUGAAUUUAAGAACGGUCCCAUGAAAUCUAUACCCCAAAUGUCAAAUAGAUCCACUUGCAAUUGCAGUUGAAACGUCAAAUAGAUCCCAUAAAAUAUUUCUUGUUCUUUGGUAUUCUGGGAAAGUAGCAACAAACCUCUUUGCAUCUUCGUGAAUCUCUAGCCAAUAAAAUCCGCUUGCCCAACCUUUUGCUUGAGUUCUGAAGUGUCCAUAAUGUCCUCCAUAUUCCGAAGAGCAAAUUGUUGACGCUCAUUAUUUACACACUUUUACCCCUGUUUAUGUUCAAUAAUGACUUGAAUUUAAUACCUAAACUAUUGAUCACACCUAAUAAACCGGUCAUUUUCACAUGUGCAACAUAAUUUGGUGGAUAUUAUAUUUUCGCAGGAAAUUGGAUCUAAAAGAGUAUUUUUUUGGAUAAAGCAUGAAACAAGCAACGAACUAGACUAAGACGAAGGCCAACGAACCCGAGAAGAGCCUAGGCCGAACGGACUAUAGGGCUUAGGCCGAUUGGACUAUAGGGCUCAUGCUGAUUGCCCUAGGGUUCCCGGGCCCCCUCUCGAGCUCGUUUUUGGCAAACAAUCCUCCAAGAUGACUUAAGGGCUAAGUUUGUAAACAUAUGGCAAUAAUCAGUUUGGGAUAAAAGAGGAUCAAGUGGAGAUUUGGAAAGUUAUCAAGGAUCAACCUCAUCCCGAAGGUAUCAACGUGCUAGGCCUACAUGCAAGUGAAAAGAACACUCCAGAACAUCUGAGAUGACUUGGGAAUGAAGCAGGACGCGAGGGGCCAAAGGAAAGGCCACCCAGGCCGAUCGGCCUAGGGGUAUCCUUUGUUCCCUCACCUUCCAAUUUUCACCACGCUCUCUCCAAACUAUAAAUACCUCGAAAAACCACCGAGCCCUAGAAAGAAUCUAGACGCAAAGGGGUAAAAGGAAGGGCUAGGCCGAUUGGCCUGCACCCCCCUAGGCUGAUCGGCCCAGCCCUUUCCUUUGCCCGUUCGCCUUCCAAUUUAAACCACGGGUCCUACAGACUAUAAAUACCCUGAUUUUCCAUUGAGCACAUUGAUUGGAGUUCAGAUUCGAAGUAGAAGAAGACGAGGAACUUGAGGGACAAUCAUCUACAGAGAGCUAAGGGCCGUGCAGUUGUUCGGAGGCUAGCUUAGGCUAGGCUCUGGCCGGCGUGAUCACUGCAAAGAAGAUCCAUGCCAGAGUUCUGGAGCUACGAUCUAAUACCAUGUAAGGUGGGGGGUUUCAGGAGUCAGACCAGAGGUGGUGGUUUAAAUAUGCUUUUUUGAGAACCAUGUGUUUGCUUGCCAUCUAGCUAGAACUACAACAUUUGCAUAAUCUAGAUUUUGCUCUAGAUGAGUUACCUCUUGUUCAUAUCUGCUCAUGCUUCUUGUCUAUCCAUGUCUAUUCAUGCCUAUUCAUAAUCAUCUUGCAACUAGAAUCAUGUUUCCUGAUACUUAGUUAGUCUAUAUCCUGUGACCUUGUUUCUACGGAUCGAUAAACCCUAUAGGAAUAUUGUAAGGGAAAAGCUACAACUAAUCCAUGCGCUUGCGGUUCAAACAUGCGCUUGCGGUUCAAAAUGGCGUGAUAACAGCCAUCAACAAGCUUUUCUGACGCCGUUGCCGGGGAAACAAGUGAUCAAGUUUUAGAUUAACUUUUGCAUCUAUAAUAUUUUUCUUGUUCAUAAUUUUUCUAUGAAUAUUUUUCUUGUAUAUUCUUGAUCUUGUAUAGUUCUCGUAUAUGUUUUUCUAACCCUAAUAUGAGAUGGACUUGUGCCCCUCGAAAAAACAAACAAAUAUUUUCUUUUCUUUUUGUGCAUGGAAAAAAAUAAAAAUUGCAGCCAAAAUCAAGCGAGCAGCUGUAGUAGGAAAUCAACAGUCAAUGACGAAGAACCACCACACAUACUCCGUCAACAAUAAGUAGCAAUGGGAGAACAACUCGAACGCAAGCUUGGCAAGCUUUGGAGACUGAACAUCAACGGUGUGCCGAUCCUGAACAUAGUUAAAGUUGAAGGCCCAUUUGAGAUCAGCACUUCAAUCAUUGAGAUGGUGCAGCACCACACAUUCACUGGUAAGGAGGAUGCCAAGCUCCAUUUGCAAUCCUUCAUACAGAUUUGCAAAACCUUAAAACUGGACGACAUCAAUGGCAAUCAACUACUUGCAAGACUUUUCCCAUACUUGCUCUUGGACAAGGCACUUCAAUGGUUUUACACUCUGCAAGCAUCAACUGUCUAGAAUUGGGAGAGCCUGGUGCAAGAAAUUUUCGAGAAUCGAUAAAUGAGGUAUGCCCCUGUGUCAAUUAUUUCUUAGAACUAAUGUUUUCUGGAGAUUUGUUUGUUCAAGCAACAUGUAUUGUAAGUGGCCAUGUCAAGAAAAGAGGGAAGAUUGGAGAACCUCUCUGCACAAAAUGAGAUGAUCUCGAGGUGAUAAGGACUGGAGGAAAAUAAGAUUAGGGGCACCAUGACACCACCAACAUUCUCCAGUGUGAUGCUCAUAACCUUCAAUGGUGAUUGAGUGAAGCUACCAAGGAAGAAAAAUACUCAGAUCAUCGAUACAAAGUGUAGGAGACUCCUCUAAUCCCGGCACCUUGGCUAAAGCAAGAAUUAUGGAGAAGAUGCAUCAUUGCCACCAUGCUGCUCGCUGGUGCAGCAAUGGUGAUAACCUUGAAGCCGAAGGGUGCGCGACAUAAUACCCCAAAGACCACAAGAUUAAGAUCAUCAACAUCUCCGGAUCAAUUCACAAGAAGCUACUAUUGUCAUCAAGAUUUUGCGCAACCUCAGAAGAAAAUAACAGAAUACUUUUGGAUAUUAAGAGGCACCUACAUUCCAACUAAUUAAGAAGCAAAGCAAUCGGAGAUUCCUACAAGUGGUUAUGGCCAAAUCAUUGAACGUCGUGCGUCCUGAAAUUAGUUCUAGACAGCACACAAUGCUGAAAUAAAACGGGCAUAACUCUCCCAUUUGAACUCCAUUUUAGAUGAAUGACCACUCGUUGGAAAGGUAAUUUCAUAAACUUAUAAAUAGAUCUGUAUUUUAGUAUAUGUUCUGUUCUGUACGCAAGGGAAAAUCCAUGAAGAAGAGGCAGCAAUAAGGUGAUGAGAACAAGACGGAGGAGAUGAAGAUGACAACUAUAAAGAGGAGUUUGGACAAUGCUUUCAUCAAGUGUACAUGAUCAAAUUCAAAAGCUCAGAAUAGAAACAAAACCUCUAGAGCAUUGGCAAAUGAAGACACAAGCAGGAGACAUUCAACGCAAGGAGAUGCUAAAAGCAAAUCACGAUGGAUUACAAAAGAUAACAUCAAGCUGAAUGGAUACUUUGGAUUCUCGAAUCACUCACCAGGGAAGAUGCAGAUUCUUUGCAAUCGGAUAUGAAGCUUCACCCAAUACACUACGGAGACAACCUAUGAGGUGUUUGAGUACUUCAGCGACUACCCUAUCCACAUCAUGAAUAUCAAAGAGGGGACCUAGUUGUGAAGUUCUACGGUGGGUUGACACCAGCUUCAUGUGCAAUCAUCGAUGCAUCCGUUAGAGGUUCUAUUUCUGACCUCACUCUCACUCAGGCUAAUGCUUUGUUCAAGAAGGUUGGUAAUAACAAUGCUUGGGCACCAGCGGGAAACAUUUAACUUUAGUCUGUUUGCAAGGAAAAAGGCGUGCUAGAAGUGGAGCAUGUUGGAUCAUCAACAUCUCAGGUUGAACGUUGCUGUUGUGAUCAAUUUUCUGCCCAUGAACAGAGAUGUACAACAGAAUAAAAUUAGAUAUUCAAAAGCUCCAUCAAGUCUUUUUUCCAACACAUCAAGAAUUACAAAUUUUGAAGAUCCAUAGAAGGAGUUACUAUAAAAUUUUUCAACGCUACAUGUUCUGAAAUCAACUCAGGACAGAACGUAGUGCCGGAGUAAAAGAGGCAUAACUCACUCAUCUAGAGUCCGUUUUUGGUGAAUGACCACUUCUUGGAAACAUAAUUUGAUGCACUGUGCAGUGGAGAAACUUUUUUGUACAUAUUUUAUUCUGGACAUAGAGGAAUUCAAUGAAGAAAAGGCAGCAGCGAAGAACGAUGAAAAAGAAUGAAAACAUGGAGGCCAAGGUCAACCUGUUGAUGAGAAAAAUGGAGAAGCUAGAGAUGAGAAGCCAUUUGCACAGCUCAGAGGAGAAUGCAAGCCAGUACAAAAAAAUUUGGAAAAGAGAAAAUAAAAGAAAGAAGAAUAAGACUGCAGCACCACCACAGGAUGCUGGGAAGAGAAGAAACCUGAAGGUCUAGCUAUAGACUAUAAACAAAGCACUUUGCGGGAGGCAACCUGAAUGUCGAGUUAGGUAAUAAGCUUUUGGGAGGACAACCCAACUUUUCUUUGAGCCAUUUGAGUUUUAGAGUUUUGCUACACUAGUCACUUCUUGAUCUUAUGGAUGUUUUUGUCGAACACUUUGAUGCAUGAUUCUUUGCUUGGUCAUUAACAUUUUGUUUCUUUUCAAACCUUUUUAACCAAACAUGUGACAUAACCCAUCCUAUUUUUAUUUCUUUUUAUCACCCUUGAAAAAUCAGAACCAGAAGAGCCAAAAACCUUCAGGCCCAUCGGCCUGCUCCCACAUGAGCCAAUCGGCGUGACACCUUUUUGCGCACCCAGAGCCCCAUCUUUGAGUACCUCAUGCGUAUUAUUUUUCAUGAUUUAUUUCUAUAGAAUACGCGUGCUAGGCUCGUGAAAAAUUAGAUUGAAAAUCUCUUUUAGUUUAUGCUUAUUGAAAAUCUGAUUUUUCUAGUUAGAAUUUUCUAAGCCUUUUAUUUUUACUUCUUUCAAAACUAUCUCUAUGUUUUUAGCCAAAAUAAAGAACCUAAUGCCAUAACCAUGCAUGGUAAAAAUUAAAUAUUAUUUAGUCUGAUUCAAUAGAGUAAGUGUCUUUGAUUUAACCUAAAUUAAUCUGAUCAAGAAUUCUUGAUUUGCAUUGGUUUUUGACAAUGAACUUCACCUUUGAUUUACAUAAUGGCUCGUUGAUUGCAUUGUGCAAGAUUUUACUUUUUAGAUUAGAGAUGAAUUUUUCAUGUUGAACCAUGACCAAGCAUUGAUCAUUUUUGACCCAUGGCUUUGGUUUUGCUUUGGAUCCUCGCGUCGGCAAGAAACCCCGGCGUGUUCUCUAUUUGUGCUCUUUGCAGGAACCAUGAAAAGAAUGUUGAACAAGGAAAAGAACAUGACGAAGAGCACGUCAUGAAAGUCCACAAUCAGAGGAUCAGCGCCAAACCACUCUUCGAGUUGACACAAGGACAUGAUAAGGAAGAAUGACAGCCCGGUAACGGACAAAACACCCAUUGAAAGAAGGGAGAAGCAGAUGGAAUAAAUAGAAACAUCACACUUUUGGUUUGCAUAUCUUUCUCCCUUCCUUUUUUUUCAUAUGCACAAGUUGUGGUAGUGUCAGCAUGUUUUCAAUUUUGUUUUUAGCAUCCGUGUCGAAUAAAAUGUUCAUCACAUUGAGCUUAAUUUCAUAUGAUUAAUAUUGAUGAUAUUGUUUAUGCCUUAUGAAAUAUGAUGGAUGUUGCCGCCUUAUUGAUUGUUGUAUUUAGUUAUGGAUAGCUCGAUAGGAGCUCCCUGAAUAUGAUUUAAAAUGAAUUAAAUGCCAGCUAAAUUUUUGUUGAGGUUAAAAUUAAGACGCACAUAAUUCUAGUUGCUCUCUUGUUUAAAUUUACUGAAGGCUUAUUUUUAUUUUCAUGAAAUAAAUUCUUUAUGCUAGUCACUUCAGUAAUAAUUCUUGCAAGAGCUCUAUCCUAUCCAAAGCCAUAUUUAUGCCUUCAUGAUAAACCUUAGGUUGCAAGUUUAUAUUUCAGAUGAAUUGGAUUAGGUUCUAUGGUACGAGACUUAGAAGCAAUCAUUCCUUUGCGUAACCUUUUCUUGCUAGCCUUUUUGUCCAUGCACUGUGACUUUUCUACAAUGGAAGUCUCGCAAACCUCGCUGGGCAUCCAACCAAAAACCCAAAUAUCUUUUGUGAUUACCCUUCUUGACCACAACCCAAUAUGAGUAUGGAAUAAAUUCUUGACGUCAAUUCAAAAGAUCCAUUGGCACCUUUUCAUGAUAAACAAGAUUUGGAGGCCGUCAGCCGUGUGCGGAAUAAAAAUUGAAGGAAAUAGAGGCAAUACAAGGCUAGACCGAUCGGCCUGGACACCCUCAUGCCGAUCAACCUAGGUGGUUCCCUCCUCUGGAAGCUCUUAUUUUUGGCGUGGAUGACCUCCCUGGAGAAUCAAAUAAUUUUCUGCAGAAGACCAAAAGAUUUUAUACUACACCAGCAACCAUUUUAUUCUCUCUUUCAUGUUCAAGGACGAGCGUCGUUCAAGCAUUGGGGGAUGGAGUCAUUGCAUCAUCUCUGACUACUGCUGAGUAAGUAUUGUGUUGUAGAAAGUUCUGAGGAGGCAAAAGAAAAAAACAUAAAAAGAAAAAAUGAUGAGAUGAGGAAAAUAAGAAAAAGAGCAAAAAUAAAUAAAGAAAGAAAGGUGAAGAAAAAUGAGAAUAAAAAUACCCCACAGUUUUUUUAGCUUCAUAAAAUUUCCAGUGCCCCAAAUGUUAAUCCAUACUCAUUUUCCAACCAUGUGUAUUCCGAUAACGAGGACCUCAUUUGCGCCUCGGGAUCAUUCAUUUGCCACCUAUCUAAAAAGUGUGUGUUCCAUUCUCGCCUUCUCCAUAAGAAAUUAUUUCUCCAUGACCUUUUUGACAAGUCUCAGUAAACCCAAUAGAAGUUUUUCAUAGUUUGAUAAUUAAUAUUCUGAAUAUAAUACUUUGCUAGGACUGUUCCUACCUACCAAGUUCUAGAUAAAGCCUUCCAUUUAUUUAUAUGCGUAGAAUAGGUUGAUAAUGUUCUAGCACAUGAUUUGAGAGACUUGAUGAGCUAGGAGUUUCCAAUGAGUAACUGUAAGAAUUUGUUGUUGAUGUUGAUCUAGCUCCUUUUUGAAAAUUAUUCUCCAUUGAAAGAAAAAGUUCUGAAGUUGAUUUAAAUUUGAGAGCAUUGUUCUAAAUUCUUUGUGGCUUGUUCAUCAUUGAAAAAUGUCUAUCCUCCAUAAUGAUAAGCUGGCUACAACGUGAAUAUUAAUUGAACAUCUAAAUGGAGCGCCAUGUCUUGCUAUGUAUGAUUAAGUGUAGGGUUAACACUGAAUGGCAAUGCUGAUUUCUAUUGAAGACUUGCUCGAGGACGAGCAAGGUUUAAGAAUGGGGGGAUUGUUGAUGUUAGUUAUUAACACACUUUUACCCCUAUUUAUCUUCAAUAUUGGCAUACAAAUGAUAUCAUAACUAUUGAUCAUACUCAAUAAUCGGGCCAUUUUCGUAUAUGCAUUGUAUUUUAGAGGAUAUUUUAUUUUCACAGUUAAUUGGACUUAAUUGGAGCAUAAUUGGAUGAGGAUCAGGACAAGCAACAACCUAGAGAAAGACGAAGGCCAGAGGCCCCAAAAAGGGCCUAGGCCAAUCAGCCUAUGGAGCCCAGGCCGAUCAGCCUAGGGUCCCAUGCAGCCCAUUCAUGCUCAUCUUUGGCGAGAACUCCUCCAAGAAGAUUUAGGGCUAAGUUUCACAAGAUAUGGCAAGUUCACUUCGGGAUCAAAGAUGAAAGCAAGCAGGACUUUGAAAAGAUAUCAAGAUCCACCCUUAUCCCAAGGCUAUCGAUGUGCCAAGCCCGCAUGCAAGUAAAAAUAAGUUUCCAGAACAUCAGAGAAGACUUGGUGAUGAAGCUGGACACGAAGGGGUAAAAGGAAGGGCCAGGCCGAUCGGCCUAAACCCCCCUAGGCUGAUCGGCCUAGCCCUUUCCUUCUCCCGUUCGCCUUCCAAUUUAAACCACGGGUCCUCCAGACUAUAAAUACCCCAAUUUUCCAUCGAGCACAUUGAUUGGAGUUUAGAUUCGAAGCAGAAGAAGCUGAGAAACUUGAGGGACAAUCAUCUACAGAGAGCUAAGGGCCGUGCAGUUGUCCGGAGGCUAGCUUAGGCUAGGCUCUGGCUGGCAUGAUCACCCUCUGGCUGUGAUCACCCUCUGGCUGGCAUGAUCACCUUGCGAAGAAGAUCCACGCUGGAGUUCUAGAGCUAGGAUUCACAAGUCGCGAGUAUGGCCUCGAUGGAGAUCUUGUGAUAAACAAUCAUUCAUGGUGAAGUAAUAGAUUGGUUCGAUUCAAUAGCGAUGCAUAUACCUCCUUUUAUGAUUUCUUGUGUUAUGAGUUUGCUUAUUCCAAUAUAUUUACAUAGUAGAUUGCAUAGGGUGUUCUUUUAGUCAUGGUGACUAGAAUUACAUGUGUGAUCUAUCAUAACAGCUAGACAUGUGCCUUAUGUUCAUGCUCUUAGACUGCUUCCACUGAUAGGUAGGAUUGUGAUAGGAUCUAAUACUGUGUAAUGCGGGGGGUUUUGGGAGUCAGACCAGAGGUGGUGGUUUAAAGAUGCUUUGUAUGAGAACCAUGUAUUUGCUUGCCAUCUAGCUAGAACUACAACAUAUGCAUAAUCUAGACUUUGCUCUAGAUGAGUUACCUCUUGUUCAUAUCUGCUCAUGCUUCUUGUCUAUCCAUGUCUAUUCAUGCCUAUUCAUAAUUAUCUUGCAACUAGAAUCAUGUUUCCUGAUGCUUAGUUAGUCUAGAUCCUGUGAUCUUUUUUUAACGGAUUGAUAAACCUUGGGGGAAUACUGUAAGUGAAAAGCUACAACAGAUUCGUACACUUGCGGUUCAAACUGGCAUGCUAAUAGCCGACAACAAGCUCUUCUGUAGAUAUAACUUUUUAUUCAUGAUUUUUUAGUCUUUUCUUUUUAAUCUUUUCUCAAUCAAAAUUUCAUAUCUAGUUCUUGUAUAUAUGUGUUUGCUUUCACUAACGCUAAUAGGAGAUGGAUGGCUAUCUCUCCAACAAACCAAAAAAUUUUAUGGAUGAUCCAGAAAAAUUUUACAGGCAAGGGAGCGCUAAGCACAAGCAAAAAAGCUAGAGAUAGAGUAAGCUUCAGCUGUCAAGAAAGAAUUGGAAGUGUCGGAAACAUCUUUAUCAUCAUCGUCUACUUCAAAGUCGACACCACCAGCAAGUCCAAUAGGGGCACCAGUUGCGCCAGUAGCACUAGAAACACCUGCAAUAGGAGAUCAAUCUGAGGCGGAGCGCACUAUCGGGGAACUGUGCAUCCGAAACAUCACUGAUUUACCUAUCCAUGAGUUGGAUGGCAUUGGGCGACCAUUUAUGAUUGAUACUUCAAGACUAAGGAUGGUACUACAAGCAUUUACGCAGCUAUGCAACACCUUCAAUAUGGAUGGAGUUAACAAGGGUCAACUAAGAGCAAGGUUGUUUUCCUACUCUCUACUUGGAAGAGCGCUUCAAUAAUUUUAUUCUCUACCGCUAGCAACAAUUUAGAAUUGGGAUGAGUUGAUGAAAGCCUUCAUAGCAUAAUGUUAUUCGCCAGCCAAGAUUCAGAAUUUAAGAAGCAGGAUUGCCACCUUUGCUCAGUAUGCUACUGAGGACAUUGCUGAAGCCUAUGAGCGCUUCAAUGACUACGUCCGUGCAGUUCCACAUCAUAAGUUCCCCAGGGAAGAUCUAGUUCAGAAGUUAUAUCAAGGGAUGACACCGGCAUCAAGGGUGAUCUUCGAUGCAUAAGUUGGAGGAUCAAUCAUUGACCUCACCCCAACUCAAGCUUUCAAGUUAUUCAAGAAGGUUGCAGACAACGAUGCAUGUUCGUCAUCUGGGCGCCUAUUUCUAGCUCAAUCGAUUGGAAAUUGUCAAGGUGUGUUGCAAGUGGGGAAUGAUCAACUACUUGAAGGGAAGAUUGGCUCGCUGAUGAGACUGGAGAAGAUGGAGAUAAAGGAAGCUCAAGCUAUAAACCUGAAGCAGCAGAAGCAAGAUCAACAUGUGAAGAGUGUGGUGACUACGACCAUGUCGGGAAGAACUGUCUAGAGGAAGCAAAGUUGCAAAUAUAUGAAGAAGGGAGAGUGGUUUUCACCUAUCCAAUUAUUGAUAUGGAUGGAAUAGACCUCAAUUUAAUGCAAGCUCAUCCAUUCAGAACACAGUGCCUCUACGCAUUCAGCUGAAGCAGUUCAUGGAAGAGCAAGGCAAGAUUAACAAAGAUAUAAGGCAAGAUUAACAAAGAUAUUGUCACUAAGUUCAAGGCUAUGGACAAAGUUCUUGAAAAUAUUGAUAGCAAGGUGACAGAGGUCGAAAGUUCGAAUCACCAAGUGAUGAACACGAUGAAGAUGCUGGAAACUCAAGUUACACAAUUAGCUGGACAUUUUACGAGCAAUAAAAGAAACUUGCCAGGACAACCAAGGAAUCCAAGAGUCAGCUAAAUCUAUUCAAACUCGCUUAGGCAAAGAAACAGAAGAUCCUGAACAUUUUCAAAAAAGGAAGUAUUUGUAUAUAUAUACAGGAUGAUAUAUUUUGAAAAUAGCCAUUUCAUUAGUACUGAUGGAUUUGAGAAAAAUGAAGGGAAACGGUAUCAUUUUGAUCUUAUAUCAGGAAAACAAACCAUGGAGAUUGAUGUAACUACGUAAGUAGUACUAGUUAGUCUACUGCUUAACUGAGAAAAACUCCAAUUAGGUAUGCAAAGGUGGGAUACGGCCAGGCCACCAUGGCCUGAAGGUGCUAGCUCAGUAGAGCGGUCUGCUAGCUCGGCUCCAACGUGACGGAAUCAGCGGCUGCCUUUUUCCUUCUCCAUCGAAGCCAUAGCAUCAAAUCUGUUGUGCUCUGCUGCGGAGGUGGAUUUGGAAGGACCAGAGCGCAGCAGCAUGUGUUGGAUUAGAGAGAAGGAGAGCAGGCGCUACCAUGGCUCUGGCUUCAAACUCAAAACUGACGUCGCGCUGCUGUUCUGCAUCUGAGAUAGAAGAUGGUCAUGGAAUGAGAUGCAGCACCAGCUACCGCUCGUGAUGAGCACCUGCACCGCUGCCACAGGUAUCUCCGCCCACGCCGCUUUUGCCCGUUCGUGCGUCACUGCUUCGGCGCUUUCUAGGUAUGCGCCGUCGCAGCGUACGCGCGGUGGGUGCCGUCGCUGUGGGAUGGAGUCUGGACCGGACGGACGGUCGAUGGGCCGUGACGCGCGUAGGCAGAGAAAGGAGCGGGCAGAGGCGGGACGGGGGACGUGGCGGCGACCGCGGCAAGGGACCCAAUGAUGAGCCAGAGUUCGUCCGCAAGUUUCGUCCUAUAGAGAGUCCCAUAGAGAUUCGUAUUGCUUCAAACACAACACAUAUAUGCUGACUCCGUGACAAGGACGUCCAACCCUUGACUCCAGGUCAGGCAGGGACGUAGCUAGAGGAGUAGGGGAGUGCCGGCAGGGGCAGGGGCCAUGGCACCCCCUGUGCUCUGCUAAUUUUGAACUGACAAACAUCAGUGGCAACUAUACAAAUUCCCACCCUUAAUCUCUGUGUUUGAAGGGGCAGAAUAUGAUUGUAGCAUAAAUGAAGGGCAAUAAAGUUAUUGGCCAACUUAAUAAUUAUGCACAAGUCUAAAACAACAUACUAUUUGCAAUCAGAGAAGGUAGAGCCCCAGCAUUUUUUUAGUGAGUAAAAUACACAAGUGGUUUCUAACCUUGUGGUGAGGGUACGCCGCUUAGAGCAACUCCAAGAGGCGGCUAAUCUUACCCACAGUACCUUUUUAGGAAAAAAGAGAGAAAAAAUGAACUCCAACAAUCCACCUAAACCUUCCCUAAUUUUUUAGCGACGCUACAAAACAGCCUGCCACCGUGUAUAUUUUAGCGUUAGCAUUCCUCCCCCAAUCCUGAUUCCCGCACGCCUGCGCGUCCCUUUCGAUGGGCCCAAUACGAUGAUGUGGCCUGUGUUUGAAAUAUUGGAGGCUAUUUAUUAGCAAUCUGCUGUGGACUGAUAUGUUUUUGGGGGAAAUUUUUUUUGGGAGAACUCCCAAUACAUAGUUUUGGGGAAGAAUUUUUUAGGAUACUUUUGGAGUUGCUCUUACGUCCAUCACCGCCGAUGCAUUUUUUACUUUUUUUAAUUCAUAUAUGAACACAAAUAUUUUAUGUAGUACUUGCUCUGUUCCAAAUUAUAGGUCGUUUUGACUUCCUCCAUCCCAAUGUAUAUCUAAGUGUAUAGAAAACUCUAUAAAUUUAAAAAAAUCAGAACCAUCUAUAAUUUGGGACGAAGGGAGUAAUCUAAGGGGGUGUUUGGGAGGAGGAGGCUAAAUUUUAGCCCUGUCACAUUGAAUGUUUGACACUAAUUAGGAGUAUUAAAUCUAGACUAAUUACAAAACUAAUUACACAACCCCUAGGCUAAAUCGCGAGACGAAUCUAUUAAGCCUAAUUAGUCCAUAAUUUGAUAAUGUGGUGCUACAGUAACCAUUCGCUAAUGAUGGAUUAAUUAGGCUUAAUAGAUUCGUCUCGUGAUUUAGCCUAGGGGUUCUGCUACUAAUUUUGUAAUUAGCUCAUAUUUAGUCCUCAUAAUUAGCAUCCGAACAUCUGAUGUGACAGGACUAAAGUUUAGUCCCUGUCUCCUAAACACCCCCUAAGUAGCUGCGUGGUUCUAUAAUUUAGGAUGAAGGGAGUAAUCUAAGUAGCUGCGAAUGCUCCACGUCACAAGUGAAAUGCCUUUGUAAUCUAUGAUGGUACAAGUUUAUCAGUCUCAUGGAGCCGCACAUGGUCUGGUCGUCUUCUCAGAUCGUGCACCGGUUUGGUAGGACAACAUUACAGGACUAUAGAGCCGCACAUGGUCAGGUCUUCACAGAUCGUACAAUCAAUGCUCCUUGAGAUCCACGUCCCAAAACUCCAUGACAAAGAGGAUAUACCUGCAGCCGGACAAACCUCAAGUAAAAGAAAACAUUUAUACAGCAGUAGUUGCAGAGCAUGACCAGAUCUUGAUCUAGUUCUUUUGAUUAAUCGAUUAACUUUCCAUCGUCAUCGUUCAUUCCACGUUGUGUCCAUGAUCAUAUCAGCCAUCUUCAUUGAUUAAUUUUGUCAAUCCAAAGGAAACAGGUGGCCUGCACGAUUCAAGCCUAAUCCAAUCGUCACUUCAUGGAUCAUCAGGAGCAGCAACAAACUGAGGUGCUGUCUGGUUUCCAAAACCCUGCCCAAUUCAUCUAAAUGCUUGAAAAACAUGAAUUAGUGUUGUCUUACAAGCGGUCUCGUGCAUCAACGUAUAAUAUUGAGAUGAUCUACGAGACACCCACUACAAUGGUUGCUCUUUUUUAUUAUCUCAUAAUAAUUUCAAAUCUCUUGAUUUGUGGCUAGAAAUGGAUUAUUGGAAGUUGCACGGCAACCACAACUCGUAGUGGUCUCAUAGUCUUAGGACCUGUUUGGAUACCCUGUGUUAAAAUUUAACAAGUGUUAAAGUUUUAACACUCUAAAUAGAGUGUUAAAGUUUAACACAUUGGGGUGUUUGGAUGAUGUGUUAAACUUUAACACCUUUGGUGGGAAAUGACUCCAUUACCCCCUCAUUUAUGGCCGGCGGAGAGAGAGGGAGGAGAGAAAAGGGGUAACCUGGAAAAAAGUGGAGAGGAGGACCACUUUUAACAUCUUUAGUAAGUUUAACACCCCCUCCAUAUGUUUAUGAAAAAUGAGAUGUUAAACUUUAACACCCCACUUUUAACACAAGUGUUUGGAUAGAAAAGUGUUAAAAAGUGUUAAAAUUGGGAUGUUAAACUUUAACACCCCUUCCCAAACAGGACCUUAAAUUAAUCUCUUUUUCUCUCCUUGCUCUCUCUCUUCCACGUCAGCCAAACUCUCUUCCACGUCAGCCAAACUCUCAUAACUCUCAUACGGCAUUGCAUGAGACAAAUUAUAAGACUGCUGACGUGCCCUUAUCGCUUCUUCCUAUGCUCCUAUACUUCCUGUAGUCUGUUUAUGUACAGUUUACUAAGUCCUGCAUCAGACUUUCAGGCCAUGGUCAGGUCCCAAGCACAGAGUCUUGCAAAGCGAGCAAAAACAAACACAUUUUAAAUUUGAAUUUUGCAAACCCCAUAUCAAGCGAAACCCAACCAGCAGUAACCCUCUAAACAUCCAGAGCAAUGUUUCGAAACGGCAUAAUUCAAAUCCUUAAUGAGUUCCAAACUACUCAAUGAAAAAUCUCCUCGUUAAAAAUGGUACAUAAUCCUUCCUGAUUUAAGCUUUUAAUAGCAUGUUCCAGUUAAAGGAAUUACAACUAAAAACUACAACAAAAGUCCAUGAAACAUCAGUAAACAUGGUAAGUAAUAUGACUGCUAGUAAAGUGGUACAAAAAGAUAUCCAUAUUAUUGUUGCUUCAAAAUCUGCAGACAUUGUCUCCUCUGUAAUAAGGGUGUCUAACAAAUGCUCUUGAUCAGGCAGUGUCCAAAAAAUUACAGAGCAUUUCUCCAAAUCUUAACAGACGGAAAUAAGUAGCGACUUGCAGCUAUAUGUAUCUCCAAAUCCCUAUGUUUAGAAAGGCAAAGGCUGCAUGUACAUGUAUGUACAUACUUGUAUAUAUAUGUGCAUACUGAAAUACCUGAAUUUACUAAUGGAGCAACCACAUUUUCAUCACCUUUCCAACCUAAAUCAGAGCGAAGCAAAUGUCUAGCACUACAAAUAGUAUAAUCAAACAACACAUGAAAAUGCUUUCAACAGUAGAAGCAUUCCUAGUUUCCUACAAUUAGCAACCUGUGUAACAUCUUAAGGGUCGAAAUAUUCAUUUCAGUCACACAUGAUGAAGCAUCAUAUAAAAUUAAUUGUUAUAAAUGACCAUGAUAACACCACAUAUUGGACCCUCGAAAGAAAACCAUAGUAUGCUUAUUAGGCUGAAUGUAUGAAUGGAAAAAAGUAAAUAUUUCCCAAAAAUGUAGCAGUGAGUCAAUCAGUCUAUCAACAGUAAAGUCACAUCAAGAAAUUAUAAUAACAGGCACUGUAAGAUGCUAUGGUCAUUUCCACCUUUGUGUUGCAGUUUAGGGUUCAGGAAUAAUGAAAGAAACCAACAAAGUUGAACUGCUGGAGACAAACAAGAUGAGGUGUUGACUUGACAAAAUCACUGUCCAUCCUUCCCUUCAUAGUACUAACUUGCUAUUUCAGAAUAACUAUCAGAAUGCUAAUUCUAGUUUAAAUGGGAAAUGAGACAAAAGUUACCAAACCACGAGUCAUUUUUUAAUAAGGCACCAGAGAUGACAUUGCUAAAGAUGCCACCAAAUGAAGAUGAAACGCUAAAUCAGGAUACAUCAUACUUGACAUAAUGCAAUAAGUAAUGAAGUUUGGAGCAAAAGGAGCUAUACUGGCAGAAAGUAGACACAGGGACAUUUAAUUAGCGAUCAAUAUGCUUCAUAAAUUCAACUAUGGAAAACAAGGAAUGUGAAGACUAAUGAGAACAAUAACUACUACAAUGCACAAACUCCACAUAGAUAUUUGUUCAGCUAGAACCUAGCACCAAAAAUGAAAUGCAAUACAGUACAAAAGUGAGGCUAUUUCCUUCAGAUUUGAUCUCCUAUCAUGUUUAACCCCAUAACAAACAAAGGUUGCAAUCUCUAGCUGUUACAUAACAAUAACGAUUGCUGAACAAAAGAAGAAGAGAGAGAAAGGGAGUGGAAACUAGAACAACAGUAUCCCCAUAUCACAAAAUACUCUGACUUUGUUGAUAGCCAAAGAAAGUAUGCAAAUACCAUACCACCAACUCAUCUGAACCUUCACGAAGCUGUCAAUAUUUUGGCCUUCAUAUCUAAGUUCUCCACAUCGUUAAUUGGCUUGCUUGUCUGAUCCCUGAUCCUCUUAAUCUUGGGGCUUUCCAGCCCCUUGUGUGAGAAACCAUACAGCCGAAGCACCUGGUUAUCGGCAAAAUUAAACGCUCGCUCCAUGCUCUUGAGGCAGCGCUCCACCGGGUAAUCCCCAUAGCUACCGCACGGCUUGCACCCAACAAAGUGAGUCACAAAAGGCCACCGCUCAUCGCCGAGCCCCGGGUGGUGAUUCUCCAUCAUCUCCUCAUACUUGUCCACCAGCCCAGCCCAAAAGCCAUGCAAGUAGUAGGAAUUCUCUAUGAACACCUUGUCCAUCCACUUUUCCUUUUGCGAGAGCAGGAGGUAAAUCAAUGCCGACUGGUCGUCAGCCUCAAAUGCUGGCCGGCCCUUGAGGUUCGCCGUGAGUACCUUGCCGGCCUGGUCACGGAUGAACCCCUUGGGACCCAUGGGUGCCCACGCGUCCAGAAGGUCAAGCGACCACUGGCAAUUCCGGAAGAGGAAGCUGCCGGUGUUGAGCGCGAUCCAGGAGUGCUUCUCGAAGAGCAAGUCCUGGUACCCGUGGAUGAUGAGGUUGUGACCGUCGUAGCGCGACAGGGGCAGCUCGAACGCCAUGUCGGUGAAGAGCGCGUCGCUGUCCAUCCACCAGAUCCACUCGACCUCCGGGUGGGAGAGCAUGAGGCGUCGGAGCAGCGGCAGCUUGGCCCAGUACCCCGCGAGCUCGGUGUCGAGGUGCGCGAGGUUGUGGACGAUCUCUAUGCCGUGGAGGCGGCAGUAAUCCAUCUUGUUCUUGGUGGAUUUGAGCAGGUAGUGGUCGCCGAGCGGGUUGUCGCAUGGCCCCGGCUGCGAGCCAGUGACGAGCAUGAUCCUGGGCUUCCCCCCGGCAACAGUGGCCGGGAACCCCGGAUUCUCGGCGAGCCACCGCCGUCGCUGCGCGUCCCAGUCGGAGAUCUUGGGCCCGAGCGCGUACUUGCCCGCGGCGGCCGCGUACGCCGCGGCGGCCUCGGCGGCGCUGAGCGCGGAGGCGUUGAACCCGGCGUUGGCGCUGAACUCCCCGCCCUCGUCGUCCGGGUCGGGGCCGGAGUCGGAGCGGAUCUCGCGGAGGAUGCGGUCGAUGUCCUCGACGGCCUUGGCGCCCGCGAGCGCCUCGGCGUCGUUGGGCUGCGAGGGGAGGGAGAGGUUGAGGCCGAUGGUGCCCCGGAGGACGAGGAUGGUGACGAGGCCGCAGAGCACGGUGAUCUUGAGGUUGUUGAAGGUGCGGUGGAUCUUGCGCGAGCGGCUGUGGUGGAGCGGCGACGCGCCCCGCGGUCGGGGCGCCGUCAUCGGGAGCCCUCCACCGCCGCCCCCCUUGUUGCUGUUGUACCCCAUCCCCUCCUGCCCCAUCCCCGCCACGGAGGACGGAGGAAUCUCCCCCACUCCGGAUUUUUAUUGCCCGCCCCGGGCUCCCCGCCCGGCCGCCGCGGAUUGCGGUCUGGGACGCUGGGAGAGAGGGAAGGAGACUGGGGGCGCGACUCACGCAGGUCACAUGGGCGGAGCGGCACCGCGCAGCGCGAUGGAGUGCGGCCUGCGGCGACGGCGAGCGGGGAAAUGGGAAUUGAGAUGGGAUCGGAGGAUGCGAAUGCGAUGGCGAGGGUUGGGUGGGGUCGGGGAUGAGGAUGGGGGAGAAGGGGGAGGAGGCGGUGCGCGAGGCUGCGAGCCCCCUCUUCUUUUUUUAUGGGUUUCGUCUUCUGGGACAGUGGGCUGUCGGCCGUUGACCCGGGUUUGGUUUCGCGCGGCUCCGGCCGGCCGGAGCUGGUUAGUAGCGGCGCGGUGGAGAGAAAUGGUGCGCCCGAGCGGUGCCGUUUGGCGUGCGGGCGUCGCGUCCGCCACUCUGCCGGUGCCUGGAAGCCUGGACCGUGGGCGUGCCCGCACGUCUUCCCGGGCCGGCAAGGCGAGCGCGCGCGGCCGUCUCGUUCUCGGCCAGGCCCAGCGUCACAAUUUUCUCUUCUUUUUUCUAAUCUCCCACUGGUCCUCUUCUUUUUUUUCUGAGUGGAUUUUCUACUUUACCGCACUGUUGAUGAGUUCUUGGGGUAUGGGAUGGAGAUAAUUGCGGCACGGCGAGACUUCCGAGGUCCAGCGAGCUCUUCGUCGUCGCCGGUCACCGGAGACUCGAUCGACGGCUUCCACGGCGCGGUAGUUUCUUUUGUUUGGUCGUGGUAACUGUCCACCUGGCCUGGCCGAGACUCAAAGCCAUUAGCCAUGAUAACAGAUCUCGUAUGCACGGUAACUUAUCAGCCGGGCCAGCAGGAUUAGUUUAGUCAAAACUAGUGAUUUAGUACUAGCUUCACAUUGGUAAUGGCGCAAAAACUAAAUUUUCAGUCAGUACAUGCCCGUCUAACGUGGUCAACGUCAAUCACGCACGCCGAGGGUCCGUUUUUGAUUGUAGAACAAGUGGACUGCUAAGAGAAUUUUACUCCAGUAAAUCAUGUACGAAGCUCUAUUUUAGAUUUACAAAGGUACUAGACCGAAUCUGCAGUUACAGUAUGUUCACUUCAUGUGUCAGUGCUAGGAGCAUACUCCUUUCUUUGUGUUAGUAGUGCUACAGUGACUUGUAGACGAUGGACAGGUUUUAUCAUUCCAAGUGAGCAUUUGCUCAAUUGCUCAACGCGCACCUGGAACCAGCCUUGCUAUUGCUAGCUUGUCUGCUUCAAGCUUCACGGUCUUAUCAUUUCCGUUCUGUCUGGUAGCACAAAGCAAACUCCUGGCCGAUGCACAGGAUUCAGAAGGAACAACACUGUCAAUGAAGUGCUCUGCCUCUUUGAACAUCCCAGCACGACCCAGCACCUCGAUCAUGUGGGAGUAAUGCCCCUCCGAGGGCUGUAUCUUGUAGACGUCAGUCAUGGAUACAAAGAACCUGAAUGCUUCACUUACAAGGCCGGUUUUCGCGCAGGCCUUCAGCGCAGAUAAGAAUGCUUUUGAAGUUGGAUGAUACUUCUCCUUACUGAGCAUCUGCGAAAACAGGCGAACGGCGGUCUCCGGGCAGCCAUUCUCGACGUUCGCUGUGAUUAUUGAGGUCCAGGAAGAUGCAUCCUUGUCAGGCAUAUAGUUGAAGGCAUCGAACGCAUGUCUGAGGCUACCACAAUUGGAGUACAUGUUGAUAAGGUGGGUGUUCAUACAGGCUGUGGAAGCAAGGCCACGCUUGGUCAUGUAGGCAUGUGCUUGCAACCCUUCCUCAAGAAGUGCCAGUUUUCCGCAGGAACUCAAGAUGAGACGUGCAGUAUGGUGGUCAACCUCCACCCCACAACAUUGGAUAACAUGAAAGAGAUUAACUAUUCCGACGUGAUCGCCAGCUUGAUAAAAUGCUUCAACCAAUGUGCCCCAUGAAACCUCAUGGUUUGAGAGUGAUAAGCACAGUUUCAGAGCCUGGUGAUACCGACCUUGUCUCAAGUAAAAGUUGACCAAACUUUUCAGAAUAGAGGUGUUGCUUCCAUAACCAUUUCGGAUCGAGUUGCUGUGGAUCUCCAUACCACUCACAGCAUCUCCAAGAGCCAUACACGCUGUAAGUACGGCGGUGUAUGUGAAUUCGUUAGGCUGCACAUGCUCCGCCUGCAUCCUCCUAAACAAAUGCACUGCUCUUCCGUACUGACCAUUCAGACAGUUUCCUGCGAUAACAGCAGACCACGCAGCCGUACCUGGAUUCUUGGUUCUUGAAAACAGAAGAUUUGAUUCCUCCAGAGCACCGCAUUUAGCAUACAUGUCGACCAACGAACUAGUAACAUAAGAAUCUGGAUUCAUACUGGACUUUAAAAUGCAGGCAUGCAACAUCCUCCCUGCUGCCAGAUCUAGAUCAGAAGCACAUGACUUCAGACUGCUUGCCACGAUGAACUGAUCAAGCUCUCCCUGGGCUGACAAAUAAUAUUUUAACAUCCUCAAAGGAAACAUCUGGUGCCGCUUAUGAAGAGUGGCGCGAUUGACAUACAUAUCCAUGAGAGCACUCAUGACGUGCUUAUCUGAGUCCAAACCUGCUCUGAUGAGGUAGCCGUGUAUUUCCAUACCAUGAUCAAAAGCACCUCUUCUGGUAACAACAUGCAGAAUACUGCCCAGUGUAAACUCAUCGCAUUCUGCGCAUUCAAACAUCAUAGCACGAAAAUGAGCUAACGCCUCUUUAUCACACAAGUUUCCUGCAUAGCUCUGGAUUAUGGUGUUCCAAGAAACCAAAUCUUUGCAAUCCAUCUCAUCAAACACCUUUCGCAUCAGCAGCAGUUCACCGGACCUCCCAUAGAAUCCGAUCAGACAAUUAUCCAAGAACUCGUUGCCGACCAACCCCAUCUUGAUCAUGCAGCAGUGCAGCUGAUGGCCCAAUCCAACAUGGCCCAAACUUGAAGCUGCCAUGAGUGCUACCGACAGAGUGAAAGCAUCACACGCGACGCCAUCACAGACCAUUUCCAUGAACAGCAUCAGUGCCUCGGCGUCACAUCCGUUCUCGGUGUACGCGCUGAGCAUGGAGGUCAAGGAAACUAUGUCCGGCGCGGCGAUGCCACUGAACACCUUCUCGGCGCAACGGAGGGACUGGCAGCUCGAGUACAUGGUGACGAGGCCGUUGGCCACGAAGAGGUCGGCGCCCACGUAGCCCAGCUUGGCGACGGCGCCGUGCAGCUGCCUGCCGAGGCGGAGGCUCCCGACGGCAGCGCAGGCACGCAGCGCGACGGAGAAGACGAAAGCAUCGGGCCUGAGGUGCAGGCCGAGCAUGCAAAGGAGCAGCUCGAGCGCCUCGGUGGCCGGCCCAUGAGUGGCGUACCCGGACAUGAGCGCGGUCCAGGCGACGAGCGACCGUCCCGGCGCUGGCAUUGCGUCGAACACCUCACGCGCGGGCCGCAUCCUGCCGGCGCGCGCGUGGGCGCGGAGCAGCGAGAGCUGAGCCGCCGCGGCCGGAGUGGUGGCGGCGUUUGGGAUGGACGAGCUGGACCUGUGGAUACCAUUGUGUGGGGAUGCGGGGUUGACGGCGCUGCUGAUGAUGGUAGAAGAGCGCGGGAGCAGGUGUGGAGGAGGAGGCGCCAUUGGAGGCUGCUGCGAUGAGAAUUGCGAUCGGAAUUCAGGGGACGACGAUUCGAAUGGAGUGGCCAGGAGGACGACGAGGGGGAUAAGGUGCACGUGGGCUCUCCACUAUCUCUGCACAAAAUUGGCCCAUACCUUCUGGGCUGCCAGCCCGGAUUAAACAAGGCCCAGGGCACGGCGAUAGCAGUUUUUUUUUUCAUCGCCUUUGCACGGCACCGCCGGCAGGGCAUCUCGUGGGAAGCGCAGCCUCAGGAAAUCAGCGAGUUCUUCUCCAUGACGACGACGCCGAUGAAUCGCGCGCACAGAGAGGGAGAGGCAGAAGGGAAUGGAUCCUGGAUGGUACAUAUACCAUUCCACCAUCCUCGUUUCGAUAUUCUCUUAUUUAUUUAUUUUUCUUUAUAGUUCCUUGAUUCAGUUGCACUUGAUGUUUGAUGCCCAAAAUGAAUCCCCUCCUCAAACUCUAUGCAGUCCUAUCAUCCCUUUGUUGGGUUGGGUCUUGUUGAUCAUAUGUGGAUUAUUGUAAAUAAUAAAAGUGCAACUAUUUAAGUAGGCUAAGGAAAUUGUGAACUUGAUACCGAUAUCAAGUUACAGUAAAUUUUUGAGAAAGCCGUCCAGCUCUCCAUUGGUGGCUAAAAUGUUAGGUUAAUUUUGUGCUUCCAUGAAUUCUGUACUCUAGUAAUUACUUUCUGAAACCACCCAAUUGCUGCCCACAACGGCAAGGAAUUUCUUAUGAUAUCAUGUUUCUGACAUGUUCUUGAAGCUCUUGAUGGUUAUAGUGACAGAAGUCAUCAAGAGUAUUGUUCUUUGUCCGCUUUAAGUCCAUUAUAUAUCCCGAUGCAUCUGGUGAGACUAUAAGCUCUUUGCACUGGACAUUGGACAUAGAUUUUCAGGCUUGAAAAUAAAUAGAUGAUGAAGUUUGUCCAGACCUUAUAUUAAAUCAUUUUGCUAAUAAAGUCGAAUUUUAUAUGUGUAUUUCACCGAACUGCAUAAUAGCGGAUGUAGCAUUUUGUUUCAGUCUCUUGUGCAAGAAGGUAAGAGUCAUUGGAAUGUAGAAUGGAUGCUAUUUCUGCAAUCAAGUAUUAAGUGCAUCAUUAUUAGAAUUUUGAAAUCAAGUAACGAACCCAAUAGUUUUUGUGAACAAGUGAAUUCAAGAAGUUUCGACCUUUAAGUUAUUUUCGCCAGUCGACAUGAUGCAUUACCAAUUAAUCUAACAAUUGAAUUAAUUUGAAUCUAGAUUUGUCAAGCUGGAAGAUUUAACAUGGACUGCGCUCAUGUUCUUUUCUAUAAGAGAAGUAUUGGACAAGUGUUUAGGGGGAACUCCAAAGCAAUGGUAAAAGUAAAAUGUAGCGAGCAACAAUCCUGCAAGGGAUGUGCUCACCUUGAAUUCAUACAGACUGGGUUUUAUCAUUUAUUCUAUAAUUCGUAAUCACUUGCUAGAGUGGCAACAACAUGACGCAAACCCCACAAAACUCAUUUUCCCAGCUGGUUCUAAAGUAAGGUUUAGGGGUCACAGCAUCAGCAUCACAUGUGACGAUCAAGCGUCAGCUUUGGCUGGGGUUAUCUCUGGUGCAGCCUCCGCCGCAGGCGCUUCUGCUGCAGUGCUGGGAGCUGCUUCUGCUGCUGGAGCCGAAGCGGCCGGGGCUGUGGCUUCGCCCUCCCAGUAGGAGGUCUUCUUCCCCGACUUGGAAACCGUCUGGAAGACAUCCUCAGGCUUGACAUUGCCUUUGACUGUCACCUUCUGCUCCUUGAGGUCUAUGUCAAAGGUCUCCACUCCUGAUUCAAGAAGAACAAGCAAUGAGCUGCAGAUCACCCAUAUCCAUGGGUGGUAAACUUGUGGUACAUAAACACUGAACAUUUUGACAGAUUAGGGUUUCCGCCUCAGAUCAAGUGAUUAAUUUACUGGUAAGUUUCCCAUAAGCUGGCAACAAGCUAGGCUUUGUUGGUAAGAGAUGCUAUAUAAUUGCUGUGAAAACAAAAUUAACCUUCCAUCUUGGUGAGCACUCUCCUGACUGCCCCGGCGCAACCCUCGCAUGACAUAGCAACCUUGAGGACAACAGUCUGCAUGGCCAAGUGAAGAUAAUCAGACCAGCUAGGAAAACAUCAUAUCAAGCUCUCACAUAUAGUACCAUCAAUACAAAAAUCAGGGACUCUUAAUGUUCUUCUACAUCUGGAGCUCAGAGAAAACGAAGAUAAUCAGACCAGCCAAACAUCAUAUAACGAAGCUAGCUAGCUCUCAUUACCAACAAUCAAUUACUAGAAACUCCAAUGUGUCAUUCUACAUCUAUUGAAACUCAGAACAUGAGGCGAUCAAUUAUGUUCUCCUCGUGUAGUUUGUUCCGGUUGCAAUCCUUAAUUUGGCCAUCAUAUUAAUAAUUCUACGAAUCAAAAACCCAUAUGUUGGAAACCUUCAACAUUUGCUAACAAUAGAUCGCUAUGUGAGAGAUCGGGGACAGGGGAUGAAGGAGAUUGGUUACCUCAGCGGCCAUGGCUCUCACGGAUCUCGGCGGAGAAGAACUAACCCAAGCUGAAGCAGCGGAGGGGGAGGAGGAGGGACUGGAAGAAGUCGGUCGGUCGGUGGG
rnacentral:lncRNA from 1 species